CGCAGGGGCAGUAUCGGCAUUCUUCUUUGGCCUUUUCAAGGCCUCGUAGCUUUGAAGAUCAGCCUCUGGCUGGACAUUACGGAGUCGAGCACUUGCCCGAGUUGAAGUUCCUAGCUGCACAACAGGUACCUCAGGAGGCAGCCCUAGAUCAUCAGGCAUAUGAGCUGAACCCCCUUGAGCAGCAAUUUUGUCACAAUAAGCAACCAAUGCAGGGUCCAUCUGUGACACCAUCCCAUGUACCUGAUAAAAAAGAAACUAAAAUAGUAAUGAAAAUUGAAAAAAAUGAAAAAGGUGAGCUGAGUAAUUAGAAUAAAACUCUGGCAUAAAAGAAUGAGUGAACGUACUGCACCCCGUAAUUCACAAGCUCUACUAACAAUUCUAGCACCAUUAUAAUCAUCUCCAUUGUAAGCCUGAAAUUCAGGAUAGCAAAAAAUCAGGCACAGUAAGUUAGGGAACAUCACAAAAAAGAAGUUAAUAAAGACUAUCUAUUAUAGAAUAGAUAUAUAUAUAUAUAUAUAUAUAUAGUAGACUUUUAAAUAAUCAACAGUACAGUGCUAAGAAUCCAAAGCAUGCAAUAUAAAGACACAACUUAUGCAUGAAAACUGUUCUGUAAAACCAUAAACAUUUUGCUUUCACAUGUGGAAUCUCUUUCCUUGCUGCCAGCCAUUCUUUCCCUAUUAAGUUUCUAACAAUUUGAGUAUAACAAUAAAUUCUAAAAUCCCAAAAUCAGCCCUACCCUAGGUAUCUAGGUAUUUAGCCUACCACAAAUGCUAAGCAAGCAAAUUCCCCUACUCUUCCCUACAAGCAUUCCCUAUGUUACCCUUCUCUAUACCAGUGUUCGUCACAUAAUUGGAUAUCGGUAUGAAGGUAUGAUCCUCCAAAUAUAUCGAAAAACUUAGAAAAAGGAUAUCCGUGUUGAGACACAUCCAUAUAUAAUUGGACAUGCCCAUAUCUAACACUCAACCCCCCCCCAAGUUUGGGUAAAACAAAGCAUUCAUACACGGUAUGUUUCUCUCUCCAUACAAUGUUCAGUAGCCAAAAUAGGAGUAAACCCCUACAUGACAUCAGGUAAACCAUACAUGAAGAGGAAAUUGCACAAGUUUAACAACUAAACCAGUAAAUAAAAAUGAGGCACACAAAGUAACAAAUAAAAAUGGACCUCAUUAUUAUAAAUCUAGUUAAUAGAUAUAUUUCGAACAAAUAUUGAAAUUUGAAAAAUCUCGUUAUUCAAUAAAAACUUAAGAUUCCGAACAACAAACCAAACUACAUACCCGAUUAGUUACAGUUGCUUUUUGACAAGCGUUUGCCAUCGUCGGUGUCAAUGAGUGGCAAGUUACAUGGUCAACCUAAGUUAAAAUAAUAAAACUAGAAAUCAGAAUAGAUUGCAUUUGGGAUUUAACAAACCCACACCUUUGCGUUGGUUACAAUCAGAUCGUGUUAAGUUUAGUUCCCAUGCAAAGGUGGCCAUGCACGACAUGCAAAGGUGGUGAUGCUCGAAGAAAUAGCAGCAAGCAGUGGUGCCAUUGUGUGCAGCAACUGAAGUUUGAAGCUGCCAAUCCACUUGCUGUUUUGGUUCCAUUUUGAUUGUUUUGUAAUCUAGUUCAUGUUGAACUAAGUAGGUAAAUGUUUUGAUAUUGAUUGACUGAAAAGUCAGCAAUGCAAGUUGUACAAGCUAAUCUUGUAAGUUUCAAUGCAAAUUAGUGGAGUUAGGUAGUUGAUUAGGUGAUUACUUGUUUGUUUUACUUGUUGACUGAAAUAUGUAAUGACUUAAUGCCUUGUUUUGAGUCAAUGAAAAAAUAUCAGCUCAUUUUUUUCAUUCAAUCUUCUUCUCUCUUUUCUGUUAUUCGCCUGCUAGUUUCAUUUUCUGUUUUGCUUCUGAGUUUGUUUCUUCAACAAGGCUCGAGGCUUGCUAUUCAAGCAAGAUACAAAACAGCCUGUUAUUGUCUCUUNNNNNNNNNNNNNNNNNNNNNNNNNNNNNNNNNNNNNNNNNNNNNNNNNNNNNNNNNNNNNNNNNNNNNNNNNNNNNNNNNNNNNNNNNNNNNNNNNNNNNNNNNNNNNNNNNNNNNNNNNNNNNNNNNNNNNNNNNNNNNNNNNNNGACUUACCUGCAGGCCUUUGAUCUGUGGGAAGUUGUUAACACAGAUGCUGAGCCAGCACCACUGAGGGCUAAUCCCACAGUAGCUCAGAUAAGGCAGCAUGCUGAUGAGAGGACCAAAAGGCAUAAAGCCAUGUCCUGCAUCCAGAACUGUGUAUCAGAUGUCAUCUUCACCAGAAUUAUGGCCUGUGAGACUCCAAAACAGGCCUGGGAUAAGCUUAAGGAGGAGUUUCAAGGCACUGAGAGAACAAGGCAACAGCAGCUAUUAAAUUUGAGAAGGGAUUUCGAGAAUCUAAAGAUGAAGGAAGAAGAAACAGUGAAGCAGUAUGCAGACAGAAUCAUAGCAGUGGUUAACAGUAUAAGGCUCCUUGGUGAGCACUUUGAUGAGGCAAGAAUUGUGGAAAAGGUCCUCUCCACUUUGCCUGAGAGAUAUGAGGCCAAGAUAUCCUCCUUAGAGGACUCAAGAGACCUUGCUACCAUCUCUUUGACUGAGCUAAUCAACACUUUCUAUGCUCAGGAACAAAGGAGAGCUAGCAGAGCUGAAGAUCACCAGGAAGGUGCAUUCAAUGCCAAGGCCAGAGAAGCCUCGAGCUUCAAAGCUGCAAGAGGCAAAAGGCCUUGGAAAAACAGGCCUAAGACUGAUACUGCAAGGAGUAAUGACCAGCCCUGCAGACAUUGCAAGAGGCCAGGUCAUCCAGAAGACAGAUGCUGGUUUAGGCCAGAUGCAGUAUGCCAACACUGCAAGAAGAAGGGCCAUGUUGAAAGGGUCUGUAAAAACAGGAGUAAGCCAAGGCAGAAUCAAUUUCAGCAGUCAAAGGUUGAAGCUCGAGUAGCUGAGGACAGUAGUGACCAAGAAGAACAGGUCUUUGCUGUUUCCUGCUUAGCUGUUCAGAAGAAAUGCUCAAAAGGCUGGUUGCUGGACAGUGGUUGCACUAACCACAUGUCACCAGAUGCCUCCUUGUUUAAAACCUUGGACAGAAGUUAUAAAACCAAGGUCAAGGUUGGAAAUGGUCAGUUUAUAAGGACUGAAGGAAGAGGAGAAGUGCUGAUAUGUACUCCCACAGGCAACAAGAUCAUUCCAAAUGUGCUGUUGGUGCCAGAGAUUGACAGAAACCUUCUCAGCAUAGCUCAACUGCUCGAGAAAGGUUAUUCUGUUGUGUUCAAGGACAAACAAUGCCACAUUACUGAUCCAAGUGGAUCAAGCCUUAUGACAGUCACAAUGACUGAUAAAUGCUUUGAGGUUCACUGGGCAAAUGACUCAAACUCAGCAUACACAGCCUCUGUUGAUGACUCCAAGCUUUGGCAUCAAAGGCUUGGACAUGCCAACUUCAGAUCAAUGGCUCGAAUGGCCAAAGAGGGUUUGGUAGAGAACUUCACCAGCUCAGUGGAGCAUGAUGAUGUAUGUGAAGUUUGCCAGAUGGGGAAACAGGCAAGACUGCCAUUUCCUACAAAUUCAGCUUGGAGAGCUACUGAAAGACUGCAGCUGGUGCACUCUGAUGUAUGUGGCCCGAUGAGGACUGAAUCACUCAUCAAAAACAAGAAGCUACNNNNNNNNNNNNNNNNNNNNNNNNNNNNNNNNNNNNNNNNNNNNNNNNNNNNNNNNNNNNNNNNNNNNNNNNNNNNNNNNNNNNNNNNNNNNNNNNNNNNUUAAAACUGCUAUACUUAAAGAAACAGGUUGCAAGCUGAAAUCGAUAAGGACAGACAAUGGCACUGAGUACACUUCAGCUCAGUUUCAAGCCAUUUGCAAUGAUGCUGGUAUCAAACAUCAGCUUACAAAUGUCUACACACCUCAGCAGAAUGGGGUAGCUGAAAGAAAGAAUAGAAGCCUGAUGGAUAUGGCCAGAUGUCUCCUGUUUGAAAAGAAACUGCCCAAAACCAUGUGGGCUGAGGCAGUAAACACUGCAGUUUACCUUCAGAACAGGCUUCCUACCAAAGCUCUUGCAUCCGAGACACCUUUCAAGGCUUGGUUCAGUUUCAAGCCUUCUUUGGCACAUCUGAAGGUGUUUGGUUGCCUUUGUUAUGCACAAAUACCAGCAGCAAAGAGAGACAAGCUCUCUAAAAGGGCUCAACCAGGUGUUCUAGUAGGCUACAGCUCAGUCAAGAAGGGCUACAGGGUUCUGGAUCCCUUGACAAACAAAGUCCAGGUGAGCAGAGAUGUCAUCUUUGAUGAAAAAGCCUGCUGGAAUUGGGAGAAAAAUGAGCCAGAAGCAGUUUCAGAAGACCUAGUGCCUAAUCAAGCUGAACUUGAGCAGCUAGGACCUGAAAUGGAUGUUGAUGAUGUGCCUGUGAGAGGCACAAGGCCCCUAGAUGAUAUUUAUGAAAGGGCACAGGUUGCAAUAGCAGAACCUAGCAGUUUUGAAGAGGCUGAGGCAGAUGAAGGCUGGAAACUAGCUAUGGUCAAUGAAAUCAACAUGAUUGAGAAGAACCAGACAUGGGAGCUAGUUGAUAAACCUGCUGGAAAGAAGACCAUUGGAGUAAAAUGGGUCUAUCGAGUAAAACAGAAUGCAGAUGGCAGUCUGAACAAGCUAAAAGCCAGGCUUGUUGUCAAAGGAUUUAGCCAAAGGUAUGGUCUGGACUACCUGGAGACAUUUGCACCAGUAGCCAGGCUUGACACAGUUAGAAUGAUAGUUGCCUUGGCUGCUCAACAUCAGUGGACCAUUCAUCAGCUUGAUGUUAAGUCUGCAUUUCUUAAUGGUUUCCUGGAAGAAGAGAUCUACAUCGAGCAGCCUCAAGGAUUUGUGAUCACUGACAAAGAACACAUGGUGUACAGACUGAAAAAGGCUUUAUAUGGCCUGAAACAGGCUCCUCGAGCCUGGUAUGCUCGAAUUGACUCUUACUUGCUCAGUUUGGAAUUUGAGAGAAGUCCCAGUGAACCAACACUGUAUGUGAAGAAGAACCAAGCUGAAACUCAGCUUAUCCUGUCACUCUAUGUUGAUGAUUUACUGGUAACUGGAGGAGAUAGAAGAAUGCUCGCAGAUUUCAAAAGAAAAAUGAUGGAAAUGUUUGAAAUGUCUGAUUUAGGCAGAAUGAACUACUUUCUUGGAAUGGAAGUGAAGCAAACAGAAAAGGGAAUCUUUCUUAGUCAGAGUUCUUUUACUAUGAAGAUCCUGGAUAAGUUCUCUAUGAAGAACUGCAAGCCAACAAGCACACCAAUGGCUGUUGGAGUGAAGCUUUCGAGGCAAGGGAGUGGUGAACCAAUUUGUGAGACUAUGUACAAGAGUCUCAUUGGUAGUCUGUUGUAUUUGACUGCAACAAGACCCGAUAUCAUGUUUGCUGUUAGUGUGCUAUCGAGAUACAUGAAUUGCUGCAAUGAUCAGCACUUUCAAGCAGCUAAAAGAGUGCUAAGAUACAUCAAAGGCACCAUUGAUCAUGGUGUAUUGUUCAAAAGGGCUGAAAACAUGAAGCUGAUAGGCUAUGUUGAUAGUGACUGGGCUGGAUCGAGUGAUGACAUGAGGAGCACAUCCGGAUAUGCAUUUAGUCUUGGCUCAGGCAUGUUUUGCUGGAGCUCUAAGAAACAAAGUCAGGUGGCACAAUCAACAGCAGAAGCUGAAUAUGUUGCUGCUGCAUCUGCUGUGAAUCAAGCCAUAUGGCUUAGAAAAAUCUUGGCUGAUUUAAACCAUAACCAAAAAGAGGCAACAGAGAUUUAUUGCGACAACAAAUCUGCUGUUGCAAUUGCAAAAAAUCCCAUUUUUCAUGGUAGAACCAAGCACUUCAAUAUUAAGUUGCAUGUUAUAAGGGAGAUGGAACAAGCUCAUGAAAUCGAGCUGAUUCAUUGCAGUUCAGAAGUGCAAAUUGCUGAUAUCUUCACAAAGGCACUCAAUGUGUCUAAAUUUGUUAAAUUCAAAAGGGAAUUAGGUAUUACUAGCAUGGAAACUAAGGAGGAGUGUUAAGUUUAGUUCCCAUGCAAAGGUGGCCAUGCACGACAUGCAAAGGUGGUGAUGCUCGAAGAAAUAGCAGCAAGCAGUGGUGCCAUUGUGUGCAGCAACUGAAGUUUGAAGCUGCCAAUCCACUUGCUGUUUUGGUUCCAUUUUGAUUGUUUUGUAAUCUAGUUCAUGUUGAACUAAGUAGGUAAAUGUUUUGAUAUUGAUUGACUGAAAAGUCAGCAAUGCAAGUUGUACAAGCUAAUCUUGUAAGUUUCAAUGCAAAUUAGUGGAGUUAGGUAGUUGAUUAGGUGAUUACUUGUUUGUUUUACUUGUUGACUGAAAUAUGUAAUGACUUAAUGCCUUGUUUUGAGAAAAUAAAAAAAUAUCAGCUCAUUUUUUUCAUUUAAUCUUCUUCUCUCUUUUCUAUUAUUCGCCUGCUAGUUUCAUUUUCUGUUUUGCUUCUGAGUUUGUUUCUUCAACAAGGCUCGAGGCUUGCUAUUCAAGCAAGAUACAAAACAGCCUGUUAUUGUCUCUUUGUUCCAACAGAUCGACAUCUUGCACAAAAGCAGAACAGGUAAGAUAUUGUCCAGAGUCAACCCGCUGCAAUAAAGUAGCAACAUCCAUAGGAUUCUGGAUUAUGGAGCGGUAGUUUGGCGCGUCCUCAUCAGUGACUGGGUAAUGAAAGGCACUAAAUCUUUUAUCAUAGAGUAUCCUGCAGCAUGACCAACCAUCUUCUAUAAAGCUUAUUAACAGUUCAAUAAAGCAAAAAUAUCUCUAUUUUAUAAGCUUAUAAAGAUAACAACAAUCAACAACAAAUUAAAACCUACAAGCCAUCCUAAAAGUUAUUAUCUUCAACAUCCUGACAUUUUCUCAAUUAUAUCAACUUUGGAGAUAAAGCAGGUUUAAAAAGGGGUAAUGUAAGUUAAUAAAUAGAAUCACAUGAAAGAAAGAGAUCUUACGACCCAAAACAAGUUCAUGAGCCAUUAUGGAAGGAUCCAACAAUGAUAAUUCAAGGAGGCAAAACCACACUACAAAAAAACAUCAGGCUUUACUACAUCUCUUAAAGUUGAUUUUCCCUUUUAUUCUUUUCUUUUCUAAUGAUUAUAAUUUUAUAAAUUUUUUUCACAAGCUUUUUGUUUUCUAAACUUAACAAGUCCUCUUAAGGUCACCUGACUGAACAGUUCUAUAGGAAUAAACCUAAUAGCCCCUGAUAAUUCUUUGGAAAACUUUAAGUCGUCUUCCAAUAUUAGUUAUAGUUUUUCAAUUUGCAGAAUUCUAACUCAGAAUUAAAACCUGAGUUCCACUUCCAGCGAAUAUUUGUCGUAAAUUACAAACAAAUCAAUUGAAAUAUGCUCCACAGAACUUCCAUUGCCAAGAAAAAGAAAUGGCAAGGGCUGAAAGGGGCAAGGAACAGUAAAGGAAAGACGACUCAGUUAAAGAUUACACUAUUAAACAUAAUAGUUUCUGAUAGGACUGCGGUAACUUUACCGGUUGCAAACAUCUCUAAGGCACAUGCGUAAACGGCGAAUAGCAUGUUGCUCAGCCUCCACUUUGGCCUUCAAUUCUGAGACCUUUGGUCCACUUUCCACUUUUGGCACUUUGGGAAGUUCAGGGAAGAGAUUUUGGUUCCUUGGUCUUUUUAGUCAUUGCCUCCAACAAUACUGACAAUGCAGCUUCAAUUAAACCGUCAAAGAACAAAGAUCUAUCUUCAAUUGAAGGUUUGUCCAAUUGAUAGCUGACAAUAAAAAUUAAAUACAUCAGUAUUGAACAAAUUUUUAAUAAAUAAAAAGAUAAGUAAAUAAAUACCUAGAGCAGACUAGGUAAAAAAGGUCCGCUUCAUCAAUAUUACCCAAAUAGAAGCAAGACAAAAUAGAGAAAAGGCAAUACAGGAAUAUUACUCUAUUCAUGCAUUGAAUUCCUAAAACAAAAGAAAGAAAAAAGUGUGUAUCUAUGAUGUUUCACAUGUCAUAUCAGCAUAAAAGAGAAUGCACUUGGACUGCAUCGCGUUUAUGGGAUGCCUCAGCAAGAUUGCAACUUGCAAGAAAAACCAAUAAUGACUUAUAUAGUGAAAACAAACUUCACGGCGAUAGCAAUAAACAGCUCUGAUUAUGAAAAAUAAUUGCCAAAGGGUAACAUUGAUAUCCAAAUAAUCACAGAACGAAAGGUAGAAAUGCAUAAAAGGUCAUUUUAAGGAUUAGACACACAUAUACACUACGCUGAGGAAAUACUGAAUAGGGAUUCCCAUCUAAUUCAGCAAGUGAACUUGAUGAUGUUCCAAGUAGCAAUAUAGGUAGGUCUGAUGGUAACUCUUCUAAAAGUGUAAGCAGAACAGCUCUUAGCUGUUCAUAUGCCUGCAACAACAAAUUUAUCAAAUUUAGAAAGCAGAAGAAAAUACAAAACUAGACUAAAAAAACUAGACCUGAAAUACACACACACACAAAACUCUAUGCAUGAAGCACUCACAUUAUCCCACCAUAGAUUGAACUGAGGUAUAUAUAGUAUAGAAGGUGUUGUUCUUCUUGCUUCACUAAAUAUAUGCACCACUGCUUCCUCUGAUGUCUUUGCACUGGGAUCCGAAAGAAGUGAUGGAAGACCAAGAGAAUGUACAGGAAAUUUCUCUAACUCAUGUAAAAUGGCAGGUCCAAGAUGAUCCUGAACAACUAGAUCAGUAAGUAUAUUCAGUUUCUGGCUCCAAAAAUUACAGUUACUAAAACUCAAGAGGAUGCAAAAUAUUUACCAAGCCAGAACCAUCACCACCGCACAGUAACAGCCGAGGCCUAUAAACAAGAGGAAUUGCUGAUCCAUAUGAAAGGAUAGAAAGCUUGGUCAACUCAGAUGACACUGUUAGGGGAGGAAAUAUGUCAGAUAUAUGGUUCAUGGAUUUCUGGAGAUGUCUCUGCAGGCAUGGUGCAACUACCAAAGACAACGGUCUAGAGUGAACGAUGGAACCCCUUUGAGAAGCAGGAGUAAUUGUUGACAUGGCCUCUAUAAAGUGAUAUUUUUCAACCUUCACUGAGUCAACAUCAAUCAGAUAUUUGUCAUCACUAGUAUAAACUUGCGGGUAUUUCACGAAAAGCAUGAAUGGCAGCUUCAGUGCAUAGAGCCUUCAGAUCUGCACCACAGUAUCCCACACAACUAGCUGCAAGUUCCAUUUUAAGUUCCUUAGAAGGAGGUUGCUUCCACUUCCGAGUGUGAAUAUCUAAUAUUUCAGCACGUGCUUCACAACCAGGUAAUGGAAAAUUGAAUUCACGAUCGAAUCGCCCUGGGCGCCUUAGAGCUCCAUCAAUAGCAUCAAUCCUGUUAGUUGCUCCGAUCAAAACAACUUGUCCACGUGAAUCAAGACCAUCCAUGAGGGCAAGCAAAGUGGAUACAAUAGAAUUGUGAAUCUGCUCUUGUUUACUAGACCUCACAGGAGCAAGCCCAUCUAUCUCAUCAAAAAAAAUGAUGGAAGGUUGAUUCCUUUGUGCCUCCUCAAAAAGAAGUUUCAAUUGUCUUUCAGCCUCACCAACCCACUUGCUAAGCACAUCAGCACCCUUUCGCAUGUAAAAACUGACUUUCUGACCAGCCUUCGAAGCAGCACUUGCUAAAGCCCUGGCAAUCAAUGUCUUACCAGUGCCAGGGGGACCACACAACAGGAGACCCCUAGGUGGAGUGAUGUGAUAACUGGCAAAGAAAUCUGGAUACAACAAGGGAAAGAAAACCAUUUCCUUCAAAGCAUCAACAUAUUCAGUGAAGAAAACUAGGUAAUCUUUGAGAAUUUCUUUCCAAUCUCAGAUAACUUUAUUUGCUUGCUCAAUACAAUGCCAGACCAUUGUUUUUAUACUUACAGAUAACAACUUGCUUCUCUUAACAAACUAACUAACUUCUCUUAACAAACUAACUAAUCUGCUAACUGUUCAGUUUUAUUAUUCUUAACAUGCAUCCAUCUUCUCUAUUGUCAAGACCCGAAGAAAAUUUCUGAAUCGAGCAAAAAGAGAAACCGAUAAUGGUUUGGUUAACACAUCAGCAACUUGAUCUGACGCAGGAACUUCUCCUACACAAAUCGAACCAUCGGCAACCUUCUCACGAACAAAAAAUAAAUCUAACUCCACAUGUUUAAACUUGGAGUGUAAUACUGGAUUAGCAGCAACUGCAACUGCACUAGAACUAUCACACCAUAUAUUUGGUGGAGAAACAGUCCCAAUAUGCAACUCUCGUAACAACGAUAAUAACCACAGAACAUCACUUGUAACGGCAGCAAGGCUUCUAUAUUCAGCCUCAGCUGUAGAACGCGAUACCACCUGUUGAUUCUUCGAUGACCACGACACAAGAUUAGAUCCAAAAAAAACACAAUACCCCUAAGUAGAUCUCCGAUCAUCGAAAUCCAACCCCCAGUUUGCAUCAGAAAACCCAACUAAACAAAGAGAAUCAGACCGUCGAAAAACAAUUCCAAAAUCAAGAGUAGCAGACAAAUAUCGUAAUAUUCUUUUAAGAGCAGCCAAAUGAACUGUGGUAGGAUGAUGCAUAAACUGACAUACCCGAUUAACCGCAUAAGCAAUAUCAGGCCUAGUAAGAACCACAUAUUGCAACGCACCUGCCAGACUUCUGUACUCAGUUGGAUCAGAUAAAAAAUCACCAUCAUUCUUAGAGAUGUGCAACGAGUUAAUCAUGGGUGUAUGAACACCUUUAGCACUUGUCAAACCGCUACGCUUCAACAUAUCCCGGAUAUACUUCCGUUGACAAAGGUGAAGACUUCCACAUGACGACCUGGUAACCUCAACUCCUAAGAAAUAGUGUAACUCACCCAUGUCCUUUAACGAAAAUUCAUCAUUCAAUAGCUUUACACACCAGUCAAUAGAAGACGCCAAACUACCAGUAAUGAUAAUGUCAUCAACAUAAACAAGCACAUAUAGAGUGGAACCCGAGCGAACUCGAACAAAUAGAGAAGCAUCCGACUUAGAGCCAACAAAUCCAAUUUUUACAAGAAAAUUUCGCAACCUCUCAAACCAAGCUCGUGGAGCCUGACGCAAUCCAUACAACGCCUUCUUUAGAUGACAAACCACAGGUCUCCCAUCAGAACCAAGCCUAACAUAUCCCGGGGGUUGCUGCAUAAACACCUCACUAUCAACAUUACCAUUUAAGAAGGCAUUGUUAACAUCAACUUGUCGAAUUAACCACCCUUUAGUAACUGCAAUGGACAAGAUAACUCUUAUAGUAGCAGGUUUUACAACCGGACUAAAUUUCUCUUGAAAAUCACAUCCCGGAACUUGAGAACAGCCUUUCGCCACUAAACGUGCCUUUAUCGUUCAACCGUGCCAUCUGGGUUCUUCUUUACUUUAAACAACCACUAACAACCAAUAACUUUGCGACCUGAUGGCAUAGGAACAAGGACCGAGGUACCAUUCCGAAUUAAAGCGUCAUACUCAGCUUGAGCAGCAGCUUGCCAUUCAGGACUAGUGACAGCCUCUUCAAUUGUUGAUGGUUCGACAAUCUCAACUGCAAGAGCCUUAGGUUUGAAAAUACCAGCCUUCGAACGAGUGGUCAUAGGAUGAAUAUUCAUAUUAGGCACCACAUCUGGUCCUGUAGGGUCAGACGGAACUUGAACAAUAGGUGUGGAGGACUGAGUUUCAGAAUUCAAAAAAUCAUGAUGAUCAUUUUCACCUUCAGCCACUAUUUCAUUCAUUGAGGGAGUAUCACGACAAUUAGUAUUUGUUGGACUAACAUCCACUCCAGUUGGAGGACUUAGAGACCCAGAUACACUAGGUGGACAAGCAUUUCCAGAAGCAUAAUUCCUUCCCAAUAAAGGAUUAGUCUCAAGAAUAGAAAAGUAGGUAGGGAUAGUACUCACCUCUCGUGACCGAGAUACAUUCAUUGGAGAGAGAAACCGUGACUCAUCAAACUCAACAUGUCGCGAGACAAUAAUGCGACCAUCCGGCAACAAACAGUGAUAUCCUUUGUGACAAGGACUGUAGCCCAAGAACGUACACGGUUGAGAUCGAAAUUCUAAUUUAUGACGCUGAAACGGGCGCAGAAACGGGUAGCAACAACACCCAAAAACACGCAAAUGAUCAUAAGUAGGGUCUUGCCCAUAGAGCAUACGAUACGGUGUCUUACCAUCCAGCACUGAUGUGGGAAGACGAUUUAUUAAAUGAACGACACAUGUAAACACAUACGCCCAGAAUUCCAUUGAAAACCCCGCUUGAGCUAAAAGAGUAAGCCCCAUAUCCACAAUGUGUUGAUGUUUACGCUCGGCAACACCAUUCUGUUCAGAAGUAUGCAGACACGACACACGAUGAACAAUGCCUUGGGACGCUAAAACCGAAGCCAAUGCACGAUACUUACCACCCCAGUCACUCUGAAACUGCUUGAUGGUCUUGCCAAAUUGAUUGUAAACAAGUUUCUGAAACUGAACAAAACAGGUCAUAACUUGUGACUUCUGUCGAAUUAGAUAUACCCAAGUAAAUCGAGAACUCAUAUCUAUGAACGACACAUAGUACCAAUUGUUAUUAGAAGCAACCGAAGUAGGUCCCCAUACAUCAGAUACAACUAAUGAAAAAGGAUCAGUAUACUCAGUAUUGGAAGCCGAAAAUGGCAGCUUAUGAAGUUUACCCUUUUUACAAGCAGUACAAACAUCAUUACUAGAAACUUUAUUCAUAGGAACACGACACUUAUGUAAAACAUUUUUAACAACAAGAGACGAUGGAUGUCCAAGGCGCUUAUGCCAUAACGAAAACAACUCACUGUCGGCAGUCGAAGUCGAACAUUCUACCUGAGCAGCAGACAUACUAGGAACACCAUCUGGUAUAGAGAACCGAUAUAGCCCAUCAUGAAUAUGCCCCGUCAGUAAAACCUCCUGUGUCACGUUGUCCCUAACCACACAAUAAGUAGAGUGAACUCAAAAAAUACCCCAUUAUCAGUUGCAAAUUGUGAUACUGACAACAAAUUUUUUCGAAUAGCUGGGACACAUAAAACAUUAGAUAGCUGAAGCAACCUAGACCGUGUCGGCAAACUACUUUGACCAAUAGACGAUAUCAUUGCGGGUGUACCAUCACCCAUUAAAAUAGAGGACUUACCUGAAUAAGGAGUGGCAUGCUUCAAAUCGGACGGAUCCUGACAAACAUGAUUACUGGCUCCUGAAUCAGGGUACCAAGACGACGUCCCAACUGGUCCAGGAAUCGGCGAGUCAGACUCAUCCCCACUCACUCUAUAUCGAUCGGAGUUAGCAUGAGAACUAGAGAUCGACGGAUCAGAAUAAUCCGAUGCAUGUAUAUCUCUCAACCUAGGAAGUCCAAAACAGGGGUUUGAGGCAGAAAACACUCGUGCACGUGGCUUGGUCCGCCAUAGAACUGUCGUGGUACCAAUCGGAUUAGCCGGAUCGAGCUGAACGUUAUUCACAAACGGAUUUGUGGACAUUGGGGGAGGAACACUUCGCCGAACAUACGGCCCAAUACUUGGCCCACCAUAGGACGGCACGCCAAACCCUCCAUGCACACCAUCAAUUGGCCCACCAGCGUGCGGCCCAGAAGUUGGAGGCCUCUGUUCAUCAUGCGGCUUAGGCUACCCAUUUGGCCCAACUUGCUGACCUCCACGCUGCACAUUGUAGCCUACUUCAGCACCCCAAUUUUGACCAAAUUCUUUUCCAUUUUGACCAGGUCUAACAGCACACCAAUUUUGACCAACAUCUUUUGCAUUUUGACCAGGUCCAACAGCACCCCAAUUUUGACCAAAGUCUUUUGCAUUUUGACCAGGUCCAACAGCACACCAAUUUUGACCAAAGUCUUUUGCAUUUUGACUAGGUCCAAAAUAAUUUUGACCUGUAGUACAAUUAACUUGAUUAGACCCAUAAACCUGUUGAGCAAAGUUAGAAAGCUUAGGCCGAGUAUUUGGGAGAGACGACCAGCCACCAUCGCCGAAGUUAAAAUUCAUCGUCUGGUCUUGCGGCGGAAGGGACACCGGAAACGACUCAUCACGAUGAUACCUGAAAUAACAUUUUUGAGCCACGUGCCCAAACCGAGAGUAGAUCUGACACUGAAGUCGCGGCCGAAACGUCCGUCCACGACCGCGCGCGCCCGAUCGUCCUCCUCGCGACGAACCAUCCAUAAGAACAUCCUCUACCAGAUUAGCAGCAUACACCACCUCUUGACUGGUCUGAGCAUGCCGUGUUUCACAUUCAAGUAACGCCUCAACCAAUCGUGGAAACGGCAACAGAGUCGGAGACAAAGAAGCCGACGAGACGACGCCUUCAAACUCCGACGGAAGCCCCGCAAGAAGCACCGUCGUCCUUUCCACCAUUGAAAUGGAAGAUCCAGAGGAUUCCAACAUAGCAUGCACACGUUUUAACUUUGCAACAUAAUCUCGGAUUGACAUGCUUCCCUUCUUGAGUGAGUGAAGCUCAUGACGUAAAUGCGACUGCCGUUGAUCGGAAUCGGCUGCAAACAUUUCCAACGCCAUGUUCCAAACAUCCUUCGCCGACUGAAUAUCCAUAAAGGAUGAAAGAAUGGAGGAACUAAUAGUGGAAGGAAGCCAGGACGUAAGAAGAUUGUCCUGCUGUUGAUACACGGACGCCACGAGAUUUACCACAAGUGCACCAUCCGACGCUUCCACAAACCUCGGUGGCACAGCAAUAGAACCAUCAAGAAAACCAAACAAAUUAUAGCUAUUAACAAUGAAUCUCACCUGUUGCUUCCAUUAAAGAAACGAACCUUCAUCGAGUUUCAUAACAUCAUGUUGAGGAAGCAAAUUUUAAACACGUUCAGCAGUGAACACAGAUCCAGGAAAGAUGCCUUCCUGGAAAGAUGCCUGGAAGAGGACUGGAAAGAUGCCUUCAAGGAAGGAUAGAGGCACCAGUGGUGAAAGACAAACAAGACCGUUUUGGUUUAGGAUUUAAACCAAAUUCCAAGCAGAGAAGGAAAGAGUUAGAGAAAAGACAAGACAGGAGGAAGGCGCGUUUGAACAGAAAAGAAGUUGAUUGGGAACCUAUGGCUGUCCCCCACAUAUCCAGGACAUUCAUAUCGGAAGGAACCAUGUAUUCUGGACUGAGGACUCCAAGAAAGAAGAUCACAGAAAAAUGUUAGGAAACUUGAGCAUCAAUGCCAUAUUUGAAGAAGAAUCUGAAGAAGGAAGUACAUCAGGCAUCUAUCCCGUUGAACCUGGGAGUGUUUUAAACAAUUGGACUGCAGAAGAAAUGCCUGAAGUUUUUAGAGCUUUUCCAGAGUAAUAUUCAAAACAUAUUAAUUGUUCUAAGCCUAGAGAAAAUGAAAACUUUUGUGAACUGAAAUGGGCUUAUAUUUGGACAUUGUGAUUUCAAUGAAAUAUAUCUUCGUAUUUUGAAUAUAUAUUCUUUUAAAAUUCCUUUCACUCUUUCAUACGAAUAGUCAUCUUGAAUGCUUUUAUUCCGAAUCAUUCUUUUAUUCAUGACCAUACUAAAUAAGAAUCCUUAAAUUCAUACAUUCCCUCUACAUUCUUUGAUACCCAUAACAGGUCCCAAGAUAUCAAUGACAUGAGUGACUCUACUAUGGACUUAGAAAAUCCUUUUGAAUGAGAUAUGUGUUUAGAGGAAUCUCAAGAUUUUGAAGAUAACACAGAUUGCAACCUAUCUCCGGACUUGUUGAGGAUGGUAGAGCAGGAAGAGAAAUAGAUUCUACCUCAUGAGGAGACGAUAGAGACAGUGAUCCUGGAAGAGGGAAAGGUGGUAAAGAUUAGCACGUGCAUAGCUGAAGAAGUGAAGCAAGACCUCAUUAAAUUGCUUCGAGAGUUCAAAGAUGUCUUCGCAUGGUCAUACCAAGAUAUGCUAGGGUUAAGUACUGACAUCGUAGUUCACCGAAUUCCUAUAAAGGAAGAUUGCAAACCAGUUAAGCAAAAACUCCGAAGAAUGAGGCCUGAUGUUGUGUUAAAAAUAAAAGAGGAGGUGCAAAAACAAUUCGACGCUGGAUUCCUACAGGUGGUCAAAUAUUCCGAGUGGGUAGCCAAUAUCGUUCCUGUCCCUAAAAAAGAUGGGAAUGUACGAAUGUGUGUAGAUUAUAGAGAUUUAAAUAAGGCUAGCCCAAAAGAUAACUUUCCUUUGCCGCACAUCGACGCCUUGGUGGACAACACAGCAGGGCAUUCACUGUUUUCUUUCAUGGAUGGUUUCUCUGGAUACAACCAAAUUAAGAUGCAUCCUGAGGAUAUGAAGAAAACUACAUUCAUAACCCUAUGGGGAACCUUUUGUUUUAAGGUGAUACCAUUUGGGUUGAAAAAUGCAGGGGCAACGUAUCAGAGGGCCAUGGUAACACUGUUCCAUGAUAUGAUGCAUAAGGAGUUAGAAGUCUAUGUUGAUGACAUGAUUGCAAAAUCUAAAAUACAAAAGGAACAUGUGCAGGUCCUUAAGAAAUUAUUUAUGAGGUUGAGAAAAUUUCAGCUAAAGCUAAAUCCAGCAAAAUACACAUUUGGGGUCAGAUCAGGAAAAUUACUUGGGUUCGUGGUCAGUGAGAGAGGAAUUGAGAUUGAUCCUGACAAAGUAAGAGCAAUACAAGAAUUACCCCCACCGCGUACUCAAAAGGAGGUUCGAGGUUUUCUAGGAAGGCUGAACUAUAUUGCUCGGUUCAUCUCACAGCUAACUGAGAAAUGCGACCCCAUAUUUCACCUCCUCAGGAAACAUAAUCCAGGUGUAUGGGAUGAGGAAUGUCAAAAAACUUUUGAAAAAGUCAAACAUUACUUAUCCAAUGCCCCAGUGCUGAUGCCACCCUGCCCAGACAAACUGCUCAUAUUGUAUUUGGCAGUAUUUGAAAAUUCCAUGGGAUGCGUGCUUGGUCAACAUGAUGAAUCAGGAUGAAAGGAAAGAGAAAUAUACUAUCUCAGUAAGAAGUUCACCGAAUACGAAACAAGAUAUUCGCCAAUCGAGAAAUUAUGUUGUGCCCAAAUCUGGACAACUCGGGGACUGAGACAGUACAUGUUGUACCAUACGACCUGGUUAAUCUCCAAAUUGGACCCUUUGAAAUACUUGAUGGAGUCAACCGCUCUGAAUGGAAGAAUGGCCGGAUGGCAAAUUCUUCUAUCUGAAUUCGACAUAGUCUAUGUGAACCAGAAGGCGGUUAAAGGGAGUGCAAUAGCGGAAUUCCUAGCAAGUAGAGCUCUGGAAGAUUAUGAGCUAUUGAACUUCGAUUUCCCAAAUGAGGAUUUGAUGUAUGUUGCAACUGUAGAGAAAGAUUUCCAAGAAGGUGGUCCUUGGAAGUUGAGUUUUGACGGAGCUUCAAAUGCUAUAGGCAACGGAAUUGGGGCAGUACUCGUGUCUCCUAGUGGAGAUUAUUAUCAUUUCACUAGUAAAUUGGACUUUGAUUGCACAAAUAAUAUGGCUGAGUAUGAAGCUUGCAUUAUGGGCAUCCGGGCAGCCAUAGAGCGGAAAAUUAAAAUGCUAGAGGUAUACAGGGACUCUGCAUUAGUAAUUUACCAGCUCAAAGGGGAAUGAGAAACAAGAGACCCGAAGUUGGUUCGCUAUCGAAAAUUGGUUAUGGAAUUGAUCGAGGAAUUUGAUAGUGUCACCUUUAGUUACCUCCCACGAGAUGAAAACCAGAUGCCAGAUGCUUUGGCCACUUUAGCCUCCAUGUUUAAAGUGAACAAAUUAGAAGAUAUGAAGCCUAUCCAGAUCAGCAUCUAUGAGGCUCCAGCCCAUUGUUGCAACAUUGACAAUGAAGAGGAAAAGGAUGAUCACCCUUGGUACCAUGACAUAUUGCGAUAUGUGAAGAGUCGUGAGUACCCUGACCAUGCGACAGAAAAUGAUAAGAAGACAUUAACGAGAUUAGCCAUUGACUAUGUCCUAGAUGGGGAAAUUUUGUAUAAAAAGGGAAAAGAUCAAAUAUUGUUGAGGUGUGUGGAUGCUGUCGAGGCAAAAGAAAUUUUGGAAGAAGUGCAUGAAGGUAUCUGCGGAACGCAUGCCAACGGCUUCACGAUGGCCAGACAAAUUAUGAGAUUUGGGUACUAUUGGUCCACCAUGGAAAGGGAUUGCAUUAAUUAUGCCAAAAGGUGCCAUAAAUGUCAAAUUUAUAGUGACAAAAUGCACGCACCACCUUCACCCCUUCAUGUUAUAGUUUCUCCAUGGCCUUUCUCCAUGUGGGGAAUGGACGUUAUCGGACCAAUAUCUCCAAAAGCUUCUAAUGGGCAUCGUUUUAUCUUUGUGGUAAUUGAUUACUUCACUAAAUGGGUGGAGGCUGCUUCAUAUGCAAAUGUCACGAAGUCAGCAGUUAGCAAGUUUCUGAAAAAAGAGAUCAUAUGUCGAUAUGGGAUGCCUGAAAGGAUCAUAUCCGAUAAUGCGUUGAACUUAAACAACAACUUAAUAGCGGAAGUUUGUAGUCAGUUCAAGAUCAGACACCACAAUUCAUCACCGUACCGUCCAAAAAUGAAUGGUGCCGUGGAAGCAGCUAACAAAAACAUCAAGAAAAUUGUAGGAAAAAUGACUGAAACCUACAAAGACUGGCACGAGAAAUUACCUUUUGCUCUCCUGGCAUAUCGUACUUCUGUUAGGACCUCUACUGGGGCAACACCGUUUUCUUUAGUCUAUGGGAUGGAAGCAGUUUUACCCAUAGAAGUUGAAAUUCCUUCUCUCCGAGUAUUAGCUGAACUAAAGUUGGAUGAGGCUGAAUGGAUUCAAUCUAGAUAUGACCAGCUAAACUUGGUAGAAGAAAAGAGGUUAAAAGUUAUUCGUCAUGGUCAGAUGUAUCAGAAACGAAUGAUGCGAGCCUAUAACAAAAAAGUUCGUCCCAGAGAAUUUUACGAGAGGGACCUGGUUUUGAAAAAUAUUCUUCCUCUACAAAAGGAUUUUAGAGGAAAAUGGAUGCCAAAUUGGGAAGGUCCUUAUGUGGUAAAAAAGGCCUUUUCAGGAGGAGCUUUAAUCCUGAGCGAGAUGGAUGGUAAAAGCCUGCCAAACCCUGUAAAUUCAGACUCAGUCAAGAAAUAUUUCACUUGAAAAAAGGGGCAUUCAAAAAAGGGGCACUCAAAAAAAACAAAACAAAAAAAACAAAAAACAACAAAAAAAGAGGGAGAGGCCAAGGUGAAAACCCGUAAAGGGCGCAUUGAGACCAAAGGGGAUUUGAGUUGAAAACCUGAAAAAGGCGGCUCAAAUUUUGAAGAAACGUGAGGUGAACGGAACAGCUCAAAUUUUGAUCAGGAUCUGAGGCAUGUGGUGGUCUUACUAUACCUGAAUCACAAGAAGGAAUAGGUGACAUCUUGGGGUAUCGACAGAAUACUGUAGAUUCCCUAAACACAUAUUAAAUGGUCUUUAGAAAACUUAUGCAGGGAAGCUCGUGCCGCGAUAUCUGGGGCACCUGUUGUCAUCUUAUAUUUUGAAUCUUGGCAAAAUUUGUUGUCUUGAUUAAUGUAUUCAUUUCAAGCUUUGCUCCCUAAUAAAAUUUCAUUUUGUCUAUUGUCUUAUUUCAUUUUUAUCUUAGCAAAAUUUGCUAUCUUGAUUAACUCAUUCAUUUCGAGAUUUGUUCUCAAUAACAUUUGUUUGUUCGUUGUGAUAAUCUUUUUCGAAAAAACAUUUAGAAUAACUAUUAAUGAACUGAAUGUUCAAGCAAAUGGAGUUUUGCAUAUUACUCUAGAAAUUUCUAAAUAAUGAAGGAACCUGAAAUAGGACUGUUGUUUAGAGCACACCAAAUUCAAAGUGUCUAAAAGGGAAAAGUCCAAGUCAGGACUAUCCUUUCAAAUUUUGUUGUCCAAACAUUGAACAAAAUGACAAGAUGUUAUGUUGGAAAGGACCAAAGAGCUUCACAUUCUGUAUCAUUGAAUUGUGAUAGCAGAAGAUCGAGAAAAGGCCAGAUCUUUCUACCUUUGGGUUACAGCGGGAGAAAGAUAGUUCAAAUUUUGCAUCUAGUGGAUCGAACUUGGAGGUUUACAGUAGGGGCAAUCUGAUUAAGUGUUUCUUUAGAUUUUCCAGUCGAGCAAGAAGGCGUUGUAGCACGUCAGCGAUAAACCUUAAUAAGCUUUUCCGUGAUGAUAACCUAAGCAUUAAGGAAUCACUUUCAUGACAUUCGGCAUUCAUUCAAAUGUCAUUCAUACACGUCUAGUUAGGAGCAUUUGAUUCAUUCUGGUCAUCCUAAUCACUAGGCACAAAUAGGUUCAUAAAAUAGAAUAUACAGGUCAUGUUCCCCAGAGAACAGAUCAAUAAAGAUAGUAGAUAUUGCCUUCCUACACUGACAGCGAAGCAGAUCGAAGAAACCAUAGUUUGCAAUUUAAAAUAUCGAAGCCACAGCGGCGAAUCUUACUUCUGGCGAUGCAGCGGAGCAGAUUGAAGCUACAACAGCGAAUCUCACUUCCCCGACAUUGCAAUUUAAAAGAUCGAAGCCACAACGGUGAAUCUUACUUCCAGGCGAUGCAGCGGGACAGAUUGAAGCCGCAACGGUGAAUCUUAUUUCCUCGGCAAGACCGGGCAAAAAUUGGUCUUUCUUAGUCUUUGCACUGUUAUCGUUACACGACAACGAGCAAAGAGGGGCAGCUGUACAGCCCAAUUAUUGUCCGGGCCCAAUUAACAGAGCCCAAACGGCCCAAUAAGCCCAACAGGCCCAGAACCCAGUCAAGGGUUUCAGAAAACGGAAACCCUAGCCAAGCCUAGCUCCGCGCCCAUCCCUCUGCCAUCAUCAUUCGUUUUGUCCCAUCGCCACCCACCGCUACUAGCUUCAUCAACGCCUGCAAAAAAAUGAUAGAAAAAAAGCAGGAGCACGCAACAGAUAGUGCAAGACAACAAAAUACAAUCAAAAUACAAUGUAAAAGGCUAUAAAAGCCAAACAAUAUCUCUGCACAAUUUUUUACAGCGUUUUGAAUUCAAGAAAAAAGAAAAAAGCAAAUCAAAAAAGGUUGACUCCAGUUUAUCCAUCUCUUUUCUUUUGUUCUUAUUUACUUUGCUCUUUUAUUUUAUUGUCCAUUUUUUUCUGCAAUCUUUCAACAAAGAAAACGGGAUUGAAAGGAAAGGGAAUAAAUACCUUACCGCUUCGACAGGCUGGUGUCGGAACCCCGCCUUUGCCGUCAUCGGAGUCGAGCAAAAAGGGGUGUUUCAUCCCUUUUCCUUUUGGACUCGCGGUUGAGAAGGCUUAGCCUUCGGGGACGCCACAAAAAAUGAAAAAUGGGAGGCCUAGGGGCCGUUCUCGCGCAGCUCCGGCCACUGGCCAUGGAGGCGGAGAUGGUGGCCUGAGCUUUAAGGCCGAGAGGGGCGCAGAGAGGAGAGCAUUCGAGCUCUCUGUUCUCUUUUCUUGUUUUUUUUUUCUUUUUUUCUUUUUUCAUUAGAAAAUGAAAUGGGGGCUGCCAUAUUAGGGUUCUUUUUGGUCCUUACGUGAUGUGUGAAACGACGCCGUUUGGAGUCUGAUCAGUGGCUCCAAAAUGGCGCCGUAUUGAGCUCUGACCCGCGCGGUGACCCGACCCAGGGGAAGGAUCCGCGUGUUUCCUUUAAAUGGGAUAUUUGCUCGCGCAGUCCCUUCGACUUUGAAGCGCGUUGCAAUUUGGUCCUAUUUCGCUAUUUCCUUUUAUUUUUUAAUUUAGCCCCAGAAUUUUAUUUUUGUUCUAAUUUGACCCUCUGCUGCGCAGUGUUUUGGGGUUUCGGGGUAUUUACCAUUUUGGUCCCCCCUUUUUCGCGCGCGUUACAUUUUGAUCCUUUAUUCUAUUUUAUUUUUGAUUUCAGCCCUGAGAUUUCGUUUCCGUUUUGAAUUAGUCCUAUUAUUAUUAUUAUUAUUAUUAUUAUUAUUAUUAUUAUUAUUAUUAUUAUUAUUGUUGUUGUUGUUGUUGUUGUUAUUAUUAUUAUUAUUAUUAUUAUUAUUAUUAUUAUUAUUACUUAUUUAUUUAUAUUGAUUUUAUUUAAAUUUCUGGUACGUAUAUAUAUUUUUAUAUAUUUUACAACUUAUGCACCUAUUUAUAUAUCUAUAUACAUAUUUUCAUUUUCAUAAAUACAUACAUGUUUCUAUAUAAUCUUUAUAGUCUAAAAUACACCUUUUUUAUAUUUUUUGAAUCCGCAUAUACAUACACAUUUUCAAUAUAUUUUUAGCAUGUAUAUAAAUUAACGUAUUUAUUUGUAUACAUAUGUAUAUUUUCAUUAUUUUUAAAACUUUAAUUUGUACAUAUAUAUAUUUUUUCUUUUAUUUUACAAUAUAUAUAUAUACACUUACUUUUUAUAUGUAUUUCUUUAUUUUCGUAUUCCAUAGUUUUAUACACCUAUAUAUAUGUACAUAUUUUUUAUAUAUACGCAUAUUUAUUUUUUUAUAUAUUAAAAUAUACUUUAUAUAUUUUGUUAAUUCAUGUAUACACAUAUUUUAGUUCAUGUCCAUAUAUAUCUUUUUAUACUUAAUUGUAUUUGCUAUUUAUUUAUUUCAUUUUUGUUAUUAUUUUGAAUGAAUGUUUUAAUUUUAUUCAUUUUUUAUGUUUUGUUAUUUUAUAUGUUGUAAGUUUGAUCGUUUACAUUGAUUGCUAUUGCUUGCAUCGUUUCUAUAUUUUCAUAUUCAUUAUGAUUUUGCCAUGCAUAAAAAAUGUAAUUUGCUUUCACUAUGAUUUUGUGUUUUAUUUUACUCGAUAUAACAAAUUUUUUUUUAAAUGGCAUUUCGUGUUUGGAUUCGAGAAAAUCGUGCCCUAACUUACUGGGUUUCGAUUUUCUCGAUAAAUCUAAAUGUACGAACCUUUUCAAACUCAAGUCUUAAAUGAUCCCGGGAUUUUAAAAAGAAUCGCGUCCUAACUUACUGGUCGUGAUCUCCUUCUUUAAAAUCCGGGAUAGCUAAAAUAUCUUUUAAACAAGCAUUUUUACACAUCGAGAAUUCGAGACAUUAUAUCCUAACUUACUGGAUAUGACGCAUUUUUCUCAAUUAACAUGAAAUAUGCUUCUUUUCUCAAAAAAAAUUUCUUUUAGCAUUUUAAUAUAAGGAUCGUAUUUUUAAAUUUCUUUAAAGUUUUCAAUUUUUCGACACUAAGACAUUAAGUAAUCAACUAGGUACCAAUUUUGGGCGUAUCGAGGGUGCUAAUCCUUCCUCGUGCAUAACCGACUCCCAAACCCGUCUUUUCUGAAUUUUGUGGACCAAAAUUGUUGUUUUAAUAAAAUUAAACCGUUUAUUAAAAACAACCAGUUUUCGAGGUGAUCCAAUCACACCUCAUUUAAAAGGAUUGGUGGCGACUCCCGUUUUUUUCGUUUUCUUCAAAACCCAAGUCGACCCCGUUUUUCAUCCAAAAAAAUGGUGUCAACAAACCUUAUAUGUAAUAAUCCUUAAGUCAUUUAUCUUUGAAUUGGACACAAGUCACGGAAUAGUCACACUUGCAUAGUCCAUUCCAUGUUCUUUGAUAUCUUAAGCAGACUACGAUAUACAAAUAAGUAUGACAUCUCUUAUCAACUUAUUUGAGCAUGGCCAUGUAUUUCUAGUCUCACUCAAUCAAGUGGCCUAAGAUAUUACUCCCAUUAUGUAGGAGAGACUUAUCCUAUCUCGAUCAACCAUAUCCCUCUACAUAGAUCGUGGUAUAUCCAACAUCAGCCUUUAUAGAACAACCAAUUAUGGUGUACAUUUGACUGUAUCAAAAUAUACAACUCACGAUGUUAGGAUUAUGAUGAUCUCAAGUCUAAGGAUCAUAUACAUAUUAAUCAUUAUGAGUAAUGUCGUGACAAUUACAUAAUAAUCCAAGAAACAUACUCAUAACGGGUCAGUCCAAUAUGUUGUUCUCUAACAUAUAUAUUCAUGCAUUGAUUCUGACAUUCCAUAUCAAUGACAACUCUUUAUCAUCAAUCAACUACAUGUUAGUCUUAAUGUAUUAUCAUUGUCCUAUCCAACAAUAAUACUUGACUAAGGAACUUUUAAGAAUAAUCAUAUUAUUCUCAGGACAUUAUAAUAAAACAGUUUAUUUAUACACACAGAAAAGAAACUGAAAUAAUAAUGGUAACGCCUUAUAUUAAUAAAUAUGAUAAAUCAAGUAUGUUAUUACAACCAUCUCAUGAUUGAUCUUUGGGCAUACUCUAACAUUUUUCGACACUAUUAACUUUCAGGUUUCUACAGAUCUUCACUUAUAAAAUAAAGACUAAAUUUAUAUUGGGUUAAUUGGACUCAAUUGAUUCACCAAAAAUCCAUUUCCUUGAAUUAAUCAAAAAUUGCUAUGGAUAAGCCUUUAAUUAAUUUGUUCAUUCACUAAGUCAUACUUCUCAAAUUGUCUUUUCUACUUAACUUUACAUUGUUGUUGUCUUUGGUUACAUCAUAUUUUGACUUAAAAGAAUUACUAAUAAUGCUCUUUUUUAAUUUGCUACUUCUCCUUACUAAACUUUAUAUACCAUAAAAAGUUAAAUUGAUUUGGGUAAUCAUUUAACUUAAAAUAAUAUAUUUUAAAUUUUUAAUAAUUAGAGGUAAUAUAUGACUAGUUGAUUUGUGCCUUUUCAUCAUAGACAUUUCCAAAAAGUUGCAUGUGUGAGCUUAAUUGUAUAUACAUUGAGAUGUACUUCCACUAUAUGGCAUGCACAUGAUCAAACUAGGAAUCACUUUAAUUUAGUGGCAAUUAGUUUAUAUAUUAUCUUACCUCAAACUAGCAAUCACUUUCAUUUAGUUGCAAUUAGUCUUUAUAUUAUAUUAGAAGCGUUUGAAAUCAGUUUGAGUGAAAUGAAUUUGGGUCAAGUUGGAUUUAUUUUUUAAAUGAAUAUAUAUAUUUUUUAAACUAUUGUUUUCGUUUAAUAUUUUUAUAUAAAUAUUUUCGUAUAUUAGACAAACCUUCAAACUUGAAUAUAUUUUAUUUAUAUUAUAUAUAAAACUCUAAGAACAAUAUUACUAUAGAUAUCAAUUCAAUAAAAACAAAGAAGUAAAUAUUCACUUAAAAAAAGUACAUAUCUUUUUAAUAGAAAUUAUACAAUAUUUUUAAAACAUGAUUAUGUUUUCUAUUUGAUGAAUUUCUUUUUUCUAUUUAAUUACUACUUUGGGUUAUAAUUAUAUGGUUAAAUUAGUUGAAUAUGUCGAAAAAAAUUAAUUGGUCAAAUAGUUUUUUUUUUAAUUUAGGGAAAUAGGUCGUUUUUAGAAAGAGCGUGUGAAACCGCAUCCAGCUGGACUAGCUUUUCCCCUGACAUGUUUGGGAAAAUGUGCCCAGCUGGGUGCAUUUUCCAAUAAUUACAAAAAAAAAAAGCUUGUCCAAUUGGGCUUACUUUCACACUACUGUGAAGAAAACGCACCCAGCUAGACGUGCUUUCACACACUCUCUUCAAAAACAACCAAUUAACUUUUUUCCUUUUAUUUAAUUAUGUUUUUGGUUUAAUGCUUAACUAUGAUUAGAAUAUAAUAAUAAAAGAGAACUAAUAAUAGUUGCAAUGUACUUAAGCUUCAAAAAGAUUUGGAAAUCAAAUUUGAUGGUUGUUAGGAUGAGUAUUGUUUUUUUUUUAUGCUGGUAUUAACUUUUCUUAUUAUACAAUCACAUUAAUAAUAUAUAUAUGACGCAUUAUAUUCGUAUUAUUUUUUUGUCAUGUCAUAUCAUAUUUUAAUUAUUUUUAUUGUGUCGUAUAAAUAUUGUUAUACAAAGUACAAUAAGGUAGGGAGGAAAUUGUGGUGGUCCAAAAGAAGUCGGUUCACCUUAUAAGCUGAGAGUGGAAGAAAGACAAGAGGACAAGGAGAAGGAGUAAAUGAUCAGAAAUUGCUUAAAGGGAGAAUGAUCUCUUUCUCAUCGUUUGGGGGUAUUUAUAGGAGAGGUCCUCUUGUUUGUUAGUAUGACAUGACAGGUCGUUACAAAAGAGGUUGUUAUUAUGGAGUGCAUGAGUGAUGUGCAUAGUGGGGCCCAUUUUGUGAUUCCUUCAGGCAGUACAAGAUUGUUAUGUUCAGGUGUAUUCCAGUGAUUCUUAAAGGAAGUGUUCAUACUAAAAAGCAGGUGGCUAAAUGAAAGGAGGAUGUUUCUUCUGUACAUCAACGAGCAACUCCACUAUGGAUGACUAAUCUGGGAGACUGGAUAAUUGAGGACAUCUCGACAGAUGGAACGUAAAGAUCUACCCUCAUAUCUCUAAUUGGAAUUUUCUAAAGGCGACGUGUCUAACUCGAAAAGUGGUAUAACAAAUGUAUUUUGCCCCAAAUUUAAGAAACAACAUGGCUUGUAGACACAAAACCAAGUCCCCCAUACAUUGUUUUGGUCUUUGAAAACUGUUUUGGUCUUUGAAAACUGUUUGCUUCUACGUAAUUAUCAGCACGCCACCAUUUUUUUCUUUCUUCUCUGUGGAUUCCUCUAAUUUCAAAGUCAAGAUCUUUACAAAAAGUUUACAGUCAAUAUAUUUAAUUAAGAAAAAAAAAGGAAUUAGUAGCCUCUUAAUUCUUGUUGCUAUAUACUUUUCUUUAUGUUUUUUUCCAAGAGUUAGGUUAACGUCAGAUUCAUUAUCGGACUGAGCUUAACUGAUUUAGGUUUAAUAUAAUAUUUUGUACUUUAAUUUGACACUUUUUUUUUCUAAUUUGAUACCUAAAUGUUUUUUCGUCCAAUUUAAUAUCUAAACUUAACACUUUUUUCUAAUUUAAUACCUAAACUUCACACUUUUUUUUAAGUUAGUACUUAAUUUUUUUGGGGAUUCAAUUUAGUACUUGAAUUGACUCGUUUUCCUAAUUUGGUACCUAAUUUUUUUUUUUGGUUCUGUUUGGUACUUAUCAAAUGUUUUACAAUUUACUCCAAUAUACUAAAAAUAUUUUUUAUGAGGUAGCAAAAAUAAUCAACGUGUGAUCGACAUGUGACAGAUGAUAUGAUAUUUUUGUAUUUUAUAUGUUAAAUUACUUUUAGUUUUAUUUAUUUAAGUCAUUAUUUUAUUAAUUAAAAGCAAUGGAUUAAAUUGGGGUUUUAAAUUUUUUUCCUAUUUAAUAUUAAUUCAUUAAGCAUAACUCGAUACCUUUUUUAACACAAAUUUCCUCUAAUACUGACAAUAUUUUUGUAGCAUAACAAAUCUUUUUUUAACAUUGUUAGCAUUAUGUGUAAUUUGUAUAACAUGUAAUAAAUUUAGGUACCAAAUUGAACCUAAAAAAGGCUUAGGUACCAAAUUAGAAAAAAAAAAGUCAAGUUCAUGUACUAAUUUGGGCUAAAAAAAAGUUUAGGUACCAAAUUAGAAAAAAUUGUUAAUCCAGAUACCAAAUUUAGCCAAAAAAAGUUUAAGUACCAAAUUAAAAAAAAUGUCAAAUUCAAAUAUCAAAUGUUAUAUUAAGCCAUUGAUUUAGCUUCAAAUUUUUAUUUGAAUUUAAUUAUAAAAUUUACGAAUAUUACUUAAAUAAAUAUACAGAAUUCCAAGUCAAAAUUUGACUAAUCCAACUCAAAAUUAAAUUUAAAAACUGAAAAAAGUUAACUUUAUAAUGGAAUUCAUGCCCCUAAAAUAUUUUUCCUACCUCUAUUAUAUAUAUUAUUCACUUUUUUUUAUUUUUUAUUUCUCAAGGUAUCUACCGAAGCGAGCCCAGUAAUAAUUCUCCGCAUUUUGUAAGCCCAUUAAGGGGUAGAUGGUGGUCACAAGUUUUAAAGCUACACCAUACCCAAGACGAGGAUUGAACCCUCGACCACUGAUUAAGGCAGGAGAGACUCUUACUAUCUUACUUAACUCCCGUGAUUUAAAAUGAGUCUUGAACUACCUAAAGAGGCUCAUUGAUCUUUCAUUUCAUCAAUUAAAUUCAAGUUUAAUGACAAAAUUGAGAUGUUGAGAAUUUUUAAAUUGUAAAUUAGAAUCUCAUAAAUGAUAUUAUAUUCAAAACUGAACCAUCAUUUUGUAACAAGUUAUUGAAGUUUUUAAGGUCAAGCAUGCAUAAAUGGUGACAACCUAAACAAAUGUUAGGCAAUGCAGCCCUAAAUAAGAAAGCUGAGUUUGAAAGUAAAAUUUGUAUCUCAAAGUUACAUCAAUGGAGAUUUGCUCCAUCUCUUUUUCUCAGCUGUUGGGUUUUUAUUCCACAUACACCAUUGUAUGGGACAGUGAAUUUAUUAAAUGCCCCCAUAUAAUCUAAAAAUCUAAAAUUGAUUCUCAAAAUCAAUUAGUAUCUUCAGUAAAUCUAAAUAUUUUGACCAUUGAAGACAGAUACGUGUGAAAAUUUGAGAUUUGGGUUUUUUUUUCUUUAAGGUGAUGAUGUUUUGGUCACUGUUUGGACCAGUUGUUAUAAUGUUGUAAGGUCAAGUUAUGUUCUUUUUUUUUUAAGUUCAAAGAUUUUACUCAACAUUAAAUAAGAUUCUUGAUGAUCUCUUCGAAAAUUUGGUGAUAUUUUGUUUCACAAUAAUUCAGCUGAAUCUUAUUUUUUUGAUGAUGAUAUAUGCAAAUAUAUUUUGGUUUACUUUUACUAUUUAAAUUAUCAACUCCUUUGACUUAGAAAGGGUUCAAAAUGUGAGUACAGGACACAAAUUCAUUGUAUCAAUGUUUAUUGCAAAAUUUUUGAUUGAAGUUAGGUUAAAAAUAGUAAAAUUAUUUUAUGGACUCUUUUCAUCACAUCAUUUAUCGUUUAUUUUUAAUUAUUUAAUGACAUUUUAGUAAUUUUUUUAUGGCAUUGACACAUAAUUUUGAUUUUUUUUACCUUGAACCUUAAACUUCGAACCCUGAGCUCCAAACUCAAACCUCGAACUUUAACCAUGAAUUUGAACCGUGAACCCAAAUCCUAAACCUUAAGUUCGAGGUUUAGGUUCAAGUUUCAAGGUUUGGGUUUGGGGCUAAGGUUCUAAAUUCAAUAUUUUAGAUUCGAGGUCCAUAGUUUAGGAUAAAAAACUUACCAAAAUUAUGUGUCAAUGAUAUAAAAAAAUUGCUGAAAUAUCAUUAAAUAAUUGGAAAGUGGCCAUGGAUGUUAGGGUGGGAAGAUAAUAAUUUCUCGUUAAAAAUAUGUUCUUAGUCUUGUAUUUUUGGAGGACUUGAUAUUUAUAUUUUGUACUUAAAAAGUUAAAAUUUAAGUCUUUUUAUAUUUUUUAUUUUAAAAUCUCACUCCAAUCGUUAAAAUGGUAAGUAUAUUCCGUCAAAAUUUGUUAAUUAGACAUGUUGAUUAAGUUACCCUCUUGUGAUGUGACAUAUGAUUGACAGGAAAUAAACAUGUUAAGUUACAAAUUUUAAUGAAAACUACCAACGUCGAUAAUAAUUGAACUAGAAGUUUUAAAUUGAAAAAGUAGAAUAAUUGAAUUUUUAACUUUCAAAGUAUAACAACUAUAUCUUAAAUUCUCAAAAAAAUACUAGCAACUACCGAACUUUUGAUCCACUGUCAUGCAUUUGUAUGAUUUAGACUUUUUUUGAUCCACUGAGUUAAUUAUUAUGUUUUUGUAUGAUUUAUAUAUUAAAUGUGAUUGCAAUGAUUUAGUUGCAUGCUAUACACGUUUAGAUGCAUUUUUGAUGCAUUUUUAGGUAUAUGUCUUAAGACAUGGUAUCUUUGUUUCAAGGCAUAAAAUUUCAAAGUUAAAUUUAUGAAAUUGAGAUAAAGUCUUGAGACAUGGUGUCAUUGUUUUGAGUCUCGAAACAUGACCUGCAUUUUGUUAGUUUUAACCAAGAUUCAUAAAUUGGCUCCGUGUUUGAUCGCCUUGGACCCCAUAUUGUUGUAUGUGGACUUGUUUGAGUUCAUUUAUGUUCAUUUAACACUUGUAUGAUUUGUUAAUUGUGUGUGCCACGCUUGUCUUGUUUUUAGCUUCAGUGAUCGAUUUUAAUAAUUGUUUGAGUUGCUUUGACAAUGGAUGCAAUGUCUUGCAUCUGAUCGGCUUCUAAAUUGGGUGUAGGGUGUUAUAGUUUAAGUCCCACGUUGUUCAAGUGUUGGGUUGCCUACCAAAAUAUGAAGACUUGUCAGACAGUCGAGAGGGUUUGGAUAAAAAUAUUAGGUCAGAAAAAUGGAAUUGAACAAAAAUAGUAGACUCGUAUAAAAUAUAAAAUUGAUAUCAUAUGAAAAUUAAAAAUAUUAUAUAAUUAAAAAGUAUGUAAAUUGUUUAUGUUUAAAAUUUUAAUAAAAGAAAAUUUUAAAACUCAUAUUUCCUGUAAAAAUUAUCUGUCGAACUACAACCAUUUUCCUACUACAUUGCUGGGGGUUGGGGACAUGGGCAGACACCAUUUCUAGCCCUAAGUUGAAAUCGGAGGCAGAUACAGAAGAAUGUGUCUCCAAAAACCUUGAUGAAUCAUUAGACAACCACCUUGUUGGCUGUUCUAUUAAAUUUUGUGGACCAAUAUAAGGGAACAUAUAAAUAGGAAAUUAGGAGCAACUUGGACAAAUCGCUUCGAUAUUGUCAAACUUGGCAUAUUAUUUUGGAUUGAGCAAUGUGCGUCAAUCAUUAUCAUUAAGAUUAAUUACAGUGUAUCUGGCUAAGAUCAAAUGACGUUGGAAAUUUAUAUUCCAAAUUGGAUAAUAUUCUUUAACUUCUAACUCGGAGUUUUUUACUAAUUUUUCUACAAGUCCAUCUAAUUUGACGUUAUUCAAAUAUGAUCCAAUUUUAAUGUCAAGUUGUACAGUAUUACAUCCAAGCAAGCAUUUGGUCAAAAUUUUGAUACGAUUUACAAUCAAAAUUCAGAUUAAGUGUAAUGGUAAUGCACAUCGCAUUUCCAAGAGGAGAAUGUAGGUUUCUUGAAUCUUAGAGAUCACGACAUUGUUGGGAUGGACAACCACGAACCCUGAACUUGGACCAUAAAACACAUAUGCAUAAUAUAAAAAAAACAACAACCUAUACACAUGUAUUUAUUACAAGUAGGUUGAAUUAAUAAAUUGCCCUCACAAACUAUAUUCACAUUUGCAUAUUGAUGCCUAAAAUUUUUUUGAUCAGAAGUACUUAUAUUACCCAAACUAUUCCUCCUUUUAGAAAAAAAUUCAAUGAAUUAUAUGUUAUUGUACACUCAAUUUAGUCACCUAACUUCAACAAGGUUUCGUUUUGGUCACCUAACUUAUAAUAUUUUCAUUUUCAUGAUUUGUUUCUUUUUUUUUUUUUUGUAUGCAACAAUGUAUCCUUUUCUAUGACAACAUAAGUACCUAAAAUAUAAGUCACUAAUUGCUAAUGUGUUAAUCAAUAGGGGUGAGCAAAACUCAAUUCGACUCGAAAAAAUUGAUAAAUUUUUUUAUUUCGAGUUAAUCUAAUCGAGUUAUUUGAUUUUUCGAGUCAACUUGAAUAAGUAAUUCAGUUGAUCGAGUACAAGUUCAGUUGAAUUUUAUAAUUCGAAUAACAGAUUGGUGUAAAUACUCCUUUGAUCCCUGUAAAUUUUAAAAAUGAGCAAAUUGUUCUCUCUCAACAGAAAUUACAGACAAAAUCAAAAUAAAUUUCAAAAUUUCAAAACAUUUAUAAAAAUACAAAAUUUCAUAAAACUCUUUUAAUUAUAAAAAUAAAAAGAUAAAAAUUCUAAUGAAUAUAUAAAUAAGUAUAAAAAUUUUCAAUAUAAUAAUUUUGAACACCUAAACAAGUAAAUUACCGAUUCAAGUUUAUAAUACUAAAGUAUCUCAUUAUAUUGUCACUAGAUUUUAAUUUUACAUAUUUAAUUUUUAAUUUAACUCGAACAAUUCAACUUAAAUUUCAUUUCAUUUGGUUCGAAUCAAGAAAAUUCAAAUCGAGUUAAGAUAAUAAAGUGAGAUUCAUCAACUCGAUUAAUUUAAUAUUUUUUAACUCGAUUUAUAAGUGAAUCAUUGAAUCACUAAAAUAGAAUCAUUUGGAAAUUACAUUAAGUGUGUAACUCGAUUACGUGUUUUUAUAAAUUUAAUAAUAAAAAUAAAUUCAUCAAAUCAAAUCUGUGUGAUUCAUGUGUAAAUCAUUGAAACGUGUCCAUUGGAAUAGUAAAGAGUGUUGGCUUGUGGGAGAUAUGGAAAGUUGCAAGUCUAUAGGUCUCAUCAUAACCCUAAUUGAUGAAUGGACGAACGCAUGCUUAUACUAUUCGAGGAUGCUUCCACCUGUUUAAGGAUCGGACAGAAUUAUUUAUUGUUGAAUUUUAUUUAAUUUGGAUGUUUAGAUUUCAUUAGGUUCAUGUACCCAAAAAAAGGGUAACAUGCUUCAAUCAAUUGAAUUAUUUAUUUAAUUAAUAAAAAUAUUUUUUUGUUUAACUUUUUGUGUUAUUAUAAGUUCAAAUUUAAUUUAAACAAUUUUAAAUAAUUUUUUUAUAAUUGGGUAGUAUUUAAAAAGUUAGGCCAUAUAACACAAAGAUAUUGUUGGCAAAAUUAAUUGAAUUUGGUCCGGUUUGAAAAAUUAAUAAAUAAUUAUAUUAUAUGGGUGAAUUGUGGAUCAUUAGAUUCAAAAAUGAAAAACAUAAUAUUCAAUAUUUUUUUGUCGAUUAAGUCUUAAUUUGAUUAGCAGAAGUAUUGUUGUGAACAUAGGAGGAUAUGAGUUUGAGUGUAUUGAAAGGCAUUAUCUAUAGGUUGUGGAGAAGCUAUAGUAAUUUUAGAUAUUGUGUAAAAAAACAGAUAUAAUCUAGACCUAUAAUAAUAUUGUUAAAAAAUAAAUUUUUUAUAAAUUUAAAAUAAUUAUCUGGCGUAGAAAUACUGUCCAAAAAGGCAAAUGAGGAAAGGAAAAAGAGAGGAUAAAUUAUGAUUUUUUGUUUGUUCUAAGAUGGAAAAUGAUAACAUGAGACAGAUUGUCAAAGAAAAUGAAGAUGUCUUAGAACAUAAUACAUAAUAAUUUAGCCUCAGAGCAUUAUAGUAAGAUAGCAGCUUGAGUUGGAUCGAAACAACUCCAUUCUCUUCCUUUAAUUAUAUUUUAGAAAAAAGAACAAUAAAUUAGAUUCUCCCAACAAAUGGGAGACUUAUAACAUGCAUCACCACUUAGUUAAGCAACUAUUAAUUUAAAUUUUAUAAUGUAAGUCGUUUAUUUGUCAUGAUGGGUGGUCCAUACGUUUCCUUAUCAAGUUAGGGAUAUAUGUUAUGAAGAAUUAAGAAUAUUUUGGAUUUGAUUGGGGAAAGAUUAGGACUUAAUUUCUUUUGGUUAAAAUAUGUUUUGUAUUUUUAUCAAGUUAGGGAUAUACGUUUCCUUAGGACAAUUUGUGUUCGUUAACCAAGUGUGUAGGUGUUGUCCAUUAGAGAUCCAGAAUAAAUCUUUCCCAAUUGAUCAUGACAUUUGGAGAUUUGGUUUUUUUUUUUUUUCAAGCUUUUGGACCACAUUUAAUGCUAUGGUCAUAGCUUGGACCACAUUUAAUGUUAUAAUGUUGUAAGGUCAAGUUAUGUUCCUUUCUUCUCUAAAGUACAAAGACUUUAUGGAACAUUAAAUUCUUGAUGAUCUCUUCCAAAUUUUGGUGAUAUUUUGUUUCAAAAUUCAAAUGAUGAAUCUUAUAUAUACAAAUAUAUUUUUGUUUACUUUUAUUAUUUAAAUUAUCAACUCUUGUGACUUAGAAAAAUUUAAAGAUGUGAGUACAGGAAACAGAUUCAUUGAAUCAAUAUUUAUUGUAAAAUCUUUAAUUGAAGUAAGGUUAAAAAUAUGUUGUUAGUUCUGUAUUUUUUAGUUAAAAGUUGAUUGCACCCCAGCCUGCGUACACCGGGAUUGAGAAUCAACACUAUAACAAUUAUAAUUAAGCUUUACUGCAAGUGUGAGAGGUCAAUUGUAAUAGUUGUAGUGUUACAAUGAAACACCCGAGUAUUCCAACAAUCGAACCCAAGGGAAACCACUUCUACUCUUAUCUCUACCUUUAUGUCUAUAGAAUCAGAGGCUUCAUCAGUAAUACCUAACACUUCACUCAAUUCUCCNNNNNNNNNNNNNNNNNNNNNNNNNNNNNNNNNNNNNNNNNNNNNNNNNNNNNNNNNNNNNNNNNNNNNNNNNNNNNNNNNNNNNNNCUACACACUCUUCCACUGAAACAUGCUCCCUAUCUUGAUGUCGUACAACUUCUAACAGUAACUCUAAUUGAUUUUGCAUGGCUUUCGUAGUGUCGUGACAUAUAGACAUACCAUCCUCAACUAUACUAACUAGAGUGGUUAAAUAAUGAUCUUUACAACAUAUACCCCCAUCCUGAUAAGAAUACAAUGAAUACAGAUUAUCCUUAUCUCUCAUAGUUGCCAUCAUACCCCCAUCCUGAUAAGAAUACAAUGAAUACAGAUUAUCCUUAUCUCUCAUAGUUGCCAUCAUACCCCAAGCUAGACAUUGAAAUACCAUUUGCAUCAUCACAAAUUGAUCUUCUGGCCACCUAUAGAUAUUAUUAAAAAUGACUAUCAACCAAUUAUCAACAAGAAAAAAAAAAGAAAACAUUAAAAUAAAAUGAAACUUCGAAUCUAUAACCCUAGCUUUCACUAAUUAUCUUCCUAGCAAAGUAUGCAAAAAUCAUAACAAUACAACUUAUCACACACACAUCUCCCGACAAUGGUGCCAACAACUUGACCCUGCCACAACAUACGAAUAUCGAGCAAAGAAUCAACAUAAAAUAUCAAAAAUUAAAUUAAGUGGCUUGAUUGCAAGUGUAAUAGGUCAGUUGUAAUAUUCAUAAGUGUUACAAUUAAACACUUAGAAAAUUCCAAGGGUUGAACCCAAGAGAGAUCAAGCAAUAAUGUGACUGAAAGUUAUCAUGCAUGCAACGAAGAAGUCUAGCUAGCUAAUCACUAAGUAUUAUAUUACAGCAAGUCAUCAUUAAAGGUUAAAUACACUAAACUACACCUUGGAUAACUAAACUGAAUACUAGAAAAAAGUGCACGAAUAUCAAUUCAAUGAGCUAAAGUGGUCAAUUGAUAUCCACAUUGCUAGUUAAUUCUUGAAUUAGGGAUCUAAAUUGCUGAAACUCCUAGUUGAUCCAAUUUUACCUUUCAGUCACUAUUUUACCCAAUUGGACGAUUUAAUCUAGUUUAUCUCUCAACCUCACUAAACUGAAUUGAUACAAUAAAAUUGGUUUGAAAUAGAUUAUUCUUUCAGUUUCACCUAUCUAAAUGUUCAUCUAGAGGCAUCAGCUCUAGGUUUUAAAGUCUAUUCGAUUUAGUUCAAUUUAUACAAUUUAGUCCCUGACCCAAAAAUUAAUCACACAACAUUUCAAUAACCAACAAUCAAGAUUUAAUGCCUAUUCAUCAUCAACAUACAAAUAUCAACCAAUUUUAUGCUUAAAUGAUCCAUCAAAGAAAACAUUAAAAAAGGACAAAGUUGAGAAGUUCUUAUUGACUCUUGAGGGAGUCUUUGUUGAAGAUGAUAGCAGCAAGAAAUGUGAUAAAAAUGUAACCCAAAUAUGAUAUUUUUAUACUUUUGAAAGUACACAAAGAGAAAACUUAUUGGGUACUUUAAAGAGAAAUCAAAAUAAUAAGAGAAAAUUUUGUAUCUAAUUGUAAGAAAGUCCAAGUUACAGUAAAAAUGAAGAAACUAACCAUUACUAACUAACUAAGCUAAGAAAGGAAAACCUACCAAUGUUGAAAAGAAUAAAAGAGAGAACUAAAAAGAUGAUAAAAGAGGCUUAUUUAUGUUUGGCAUAAGGAUGCCUUUAAUACAUCUAAUUUUUCAACCUUAACAUUUGAUAAAAAUUCCCUUGGAGUGCAUGAGUUGACUUGAGUUGAUGUUGGAUACAAAAUUGCCCCUAUAGUAAUUUUCACCUUGUUAGACUUCAAUGUUGUGACACCCAAGUUUUAAUGUUGCGACAUCCUCAAUAGUAGGCACGAUCUUGGCUUGAGGGUUCUUAGUGUCGUGACACAGCCUGGUUAGUGUUGCGACAUCCUCAACAAUGGCCCUAGACUCCUUCACUCCAACCAUCAGCUUGGAGUUGUAAUGAUAAAGGAUGAGAAGGAUGAAUGCGAAAGCGGAUCGUAAAGUUUGCCAAAGUCACGGAUUUGACUUAGGGCUCUAGACUUUCGGAAAGAAAUUUAGAUUUUGACACAACCUGAAACAAAAUUGAAUCCAAAGUCAGAUAAAAAAUUUAAAAUAAAUAACUAAAAUAAAAUAAUAAAUCAAAGAUUAAUGAAGCGAAUAAAGAAGAUAAAUGGAAAGAUAGAACAUGGCAUGUAGAAGUCCUAAGAAGCCUUGGAAACACGAAGAAUCCACAACCCCCUUCAAGCGGCUCUAAUUUCCCUCCAAGAUAGAAACCUUGGCAAGAAAAAGUUUGAAGAUGAUCCCCACAAUCUAAAAAGAUUGUUAAAAUUCUUCUAAAAGAAACUCAAGAGAAAUUCUUAAAAAGAAAAACUCAGAGGGAAUUUAUUAACUUAAAAGAGAAAUAGAAUAAUAAUUAAUUUAAUAAAUUGUGUACAAUGCAAAUGCAAAGGCCUAAAUAUAGGCUAGCUAAAUAAAUCUAAAUAAAACUCUUAAGUAUACUAGAACUCUAAUUUAAUCUAAACAAUAAGUAGUUUUAAACUAAAUUUUCUUAUUAAUAUAAAACUCUUAAAUAACUUAAAAUACUUAAUAAUUAUCAAAAAUUCAGAAUAAAAUAAUAACAAAGUAAUAAGAUCUAACAAAUAUAAUAUUGGGCUCAUAUAUAAUAAAAAUUAAAUCUAAAGCCUGAACCUAAUAUGAUUUAAAAGCCCGAAAUUCGUAAUUCCCAUCAUAAUCUAGUUCAAAAAUUCUACUCGCGUAGUCUUCACUAAAAUGGUCAUAACUUGAGCUCCUGAACUUAAAAUCGAGUGAUUCAAAAUGCGUUUCGAAGCUAAGAGAUAGAUCUUCAAAUGCCAUGGGACAUCUCAACCUAAAAAUGUUAGGAUCCCAUCCAAAAAGUUAUCGCAAAUAUGCUGAUUUUUCAAGCCUGAAAAUUGGCAAUUUUGAUGAUUAGAAUCUAAUAAAUUUCAUCCCAUUCGUGCAUGUAUCAUGCAACAUUGGCGACUUGUAGUCAAGACAUUGGGGCUCAAUGUCACGACAUAGCACACCUAGUGGUGCAAUAUCCUUGGUAGUCAGCUCUUAGUUAGCUUUUCAUUAAAGUUUUUCUCUCAUGAAGUGAUGGAAGGUCAAUGUCAUGACACACAUGCAUCAAUGUCGCAACACCAACAGCAGUUGAUGUUUUCCUCGAGGUUUGGCCAUUGUCGUCUCCCUACACAAACUCAAACUAACCAUUAGACUCCCACUAGCAUAAUUUUGUCAAUUUGAAUCUCAAAAGGAUUAAAACGAAAGAAAAACUAUCGUUAAUACUAACAACUAAAAAUAAACAAAAAAAAAUAUUUAAAAGACUCAUAAAUUGCUUAAAAACAAACUCGUUAAGCAAUUGAGAGAUUCUAAUUUGAAAUAUCAAAUUACAGUAAAUCAACUAAGGAACUUACUCCUCGAACAAGUCUAUACUUAGUAAGACUUAAAUCAAAAUAAAUCUAAAUUGAAAAGUGAAAUAUGUUUUGCACAGAGUGGGAAUAUCGGAUCUCAAAAGUGUCAAAACUUCAACCUUACCAUCUGUCAAUAUUCCAUUGAGUACACAUACAGUGUUUUUAGAAUAGUAAAAGAGAAAGAGUGGUUUAAUAAAUCAACAAUUUUUAAAAUAUCAAUAAUAAAACUUUUUAAAUAUAUAUAACAAAGAUCACGUCUUGUAAAUAUAUAAUCUAUUUUUUUUAUCAAUUGCCUAAUUACAUUAUUUCAAUCAAGUCCUCCAUUCACAUAUUUAGGCCUUUCUAAGUCAAAGGAGUAGAUAAUUUAAAUCAUGAAAGUAAACAAAAAUAUUGGCAUAUAUCAUCAAGAAUAAAAUUCAUGAUUUGAUUUGAGAUCACCAAAUUUUGGAAGAGAUUUCGACCAAUCUAAUGUUGCAUUAAAUCUUUGAACUUGACCUUACAACAUUAAUAACAUAAAAAGUGGUCCAAACAUAGUGGUCCAUACAUGGACCAAAACAUCAUUACCGUACGUUAAUUAACCAUAUCUCAUUUUUCACACGUAUUUGUCUUAAACGGUCAAAAUGGUUAGAUUUAUUGAUGAUACUACUUGAUUUUUCAGAAUCUAUUUUAGAUUUUAGUAAAUAUUUUUUAUAAGAUUAUAUCUUGGCAUUUAAUAACUUCACUGUCGAAUGCAGUGAUGUAUGUGGUAUAAAGCCCUAACAACUGGCAAAAGACAUGGAAAAAAUCACCAUUGAUGUAACUUUGAGAUACAAAUUUUACUUUUGAAGUCAGCUUUAGGGUUGCAUUGCCUAACAUUUGUUUAGGUUGUCCCCAUUUAUGCAUGCAUUGCCUAACAUCUCAACUUUUCUGUUGAACUCAAACUUUAUUGGCAAAAUGAAAGAUUGAUGAACAUCUUUUAUGUGAUAUUUAAAAAAAAAAAAAGCAUAGGCCUAUAGAAGGGCAAAGCUAGAAAAGAUCCAAAUAGGUUCGGGUCAGAUAGGCCAGUUUUCAUCGAGUUCGUGCAUCACUAAGCUCACAAAUUAAGUAUCUAUAUUCUCAUACAAGGUCACUCAUGAAACUAUAUAAACAUAUGUUAAGUCUAAAGUAAAAUACAUGUUGAUAUGCAUGAAACCCACUUAGUAUAUAAAAUCAAUAAAUAAUAAAUAGGGAAAUACCACAAUGUAAGGGACAUAGAGAACAACACUCAACACUACUAAUUACUUAGAUUUAUUUCUUGGUAAAAUAUUCUGAAUCUGAAAUCAGAAGAAUCCAAAGAAGACGAAAAAAUAUGGUGGCUUGCUGAUAUGAUAAGGUAAAGGAAAUCAUUUUUCAAAGACCAAAACCGUGUAUGGGGGGGACUUGGUCUUGUCCUUACAAGACAUAUUGUCUGUUAAAUGUGGGGCAUAAUAUCCACAUAGGAUUAUGUUUACGUAGAUUCUUUUGACUCAUUCUACGACACGACAAAAAUAAUUUAAAUAUGAUACGAUAUAAAAAUUUAAUACGUAUAUAAUAUAAAUUUAUUAAUGUGUGAUAUGUACAUAUUAUUGACGUGUUAAUAUUUUAAAAUAUAUAAUAAUAGAACUAAGAUUUGUCAGAACCAUCGAAUUUGAUUUUCAAAUGUCUUUGAAAUUCAAGUACCAUUAAUUCUCUUUAAUUCUCAUACCCUACUCAUAAUUAAGUAUUAAAACAAAAGGCAAUCACAUAACUAGAAAAAAGUACAUCAAACAGGAAAAAAAACAAUAAUGUUCUAAAAAUAUUAUAUAAAAAUUAAAAAAAUUAUUUUUAUUGAACGUAAAAUUUUACAUAUAAUAUAAACCAGAUAUAUUCAAACUUGAAGGUUUAUUUUACAUACGAGAACUUUUGCAAAAAAAAAAAUUUGCUCAGUCGAGAUAAAAUAAUGUAAACAGGGAAAAAUAUUGGAGCCACCAACCUCUUUCAAGGACAACAAGAUUACAACAACCACCGAAGAUAAAAAUCCUCCACUCAAAUUCUCGAUAUACUUUUGCCAAAACAUCCGUCAUACCAUUACAUUGUCGGUGAAUAACUGUGAACUGAAACCGAGCCAAUUGGUUAGUUUUAAAUAAAAUAUAUAUUCAUUCAUUUAAAAAUAAAUUAAACCGUAAAUCUAACAAUUUUGAGCUUGAUUCAAUCUGAUUUGAACACUUAUAAUAUAAUAUAUAGAUUAGUUGAAGUUAGAGGUGAUCAUGGGCCUCAUUUUUUUGCCCAAACUCAUAUUUCGGGCCUAUAUUUUACCCGAACCCUCCUAUAUUUUGGGCGGCCCGGUCUGGCCCGACAACCCACCCAAAAUAUAGGAGGGUUCGGGUAAAAAUAUAGGCCCGAAAUAUUAGUUUGGGCAAAAAAAUGAGGCCAUUUAGAAAACGGGCGGAGCCUCGAGCACCACUUUUUUGGCCCAGGCCCGGCCCGAAUAUAUAAUAAAUAUAUAUUCUUUUAAUUUUUUAAAUUUUUUUAAUUUAAAAAUAUUUUUAAAAUACUUAUUAUUUUUUUAUUUUUAAAAUAAAUUUUUGGUAUUUAUUAAAAAAUGGGCCGGGCUCAGGCUUAAGAAUUUUUUCAGGCCGGGCCUAGACAAAAUUUUAGGCCCAUGAUCACCUCUAGUUGCUGUCAAAUUAAAGUGCUUGGAAGUUUCCUCGUGUGAAUGGGAUGUUUAGUUUUUAUCUAGGUGGUGACAUAUUAGUGGAAGAGAAAUGUUUGAUGGAUAGGCACAAACUAUUUACUCAGAAAUUACCUUUAAUUAUUAAAAUAUUAAAAUAAAGUUUACUAAGAAGUAGCAAAGUAAAGGGAAUUGUUAGUAAAAUUUUCAGUGGAAAUAAGUUCUUUUUGCACCCACAAAUGGAAUUAAGUACAGCAACAAUGUAAAAUUAAGCAGAAAGGUCCUCCAACCAAUUAAUUAGACAAUUUGAGAGGUAUGACUUAAUGAUGAACAAAUUAACUAAAAGCUUAUACGAAAUUAAUGAUUAAUUCAACGAAUUGGAGUGAAUCAAUAGUUUUUUUUAAUUAUAAUAAAAUUAUAAAUGUAUAAUUAAAUUAAUACAAAACUGAUCCAUGCAUCGAUCUAAAAUUCACAUAAAGUAGCAACACUUAACAACACUUGACAAAACUGACUCAUCGAGAUUGCAAGGAGAUGUCUUUGCUGCAAAGGGUGUCUAGGUAGGUGCAUGUUUGGACUUUUCGAUCAACCCGAACUGAAGUUUGAAUGUUUUAUGUUUUCAAUCAAUUGAUUUUUUUUGCUAUUCUCAAACUCAAUUAUUGAGAAUGUGAGCUCUAACUUAAAGAACGAAACACAUGAAAAAACCAAGAUUCCUGUGGAAAGAGCUUUGCACAAACCUCUAUGUAAACCGAAACCAAAAUUUCAACUUUAACAUCCGAAUUAUAGUUGUUGGAUGAUUGUAAUUAUAAUUAUUCUUAAUCAAGAAUCCAAUCUUAAGAAAAGUAGAAUUUAUUUGAAUAAAAAAAAAUUAAGUUUCUGCAGAAUUUCACUCAUUCGGAAUUCUUAAUUCUUAAUUCAGAAUUUCCAACUGGGCCGAUAUGAGAUCAGUCCCUCUAUUGUUUUAAAUUAAAAAUUGAGCUCAUAUAUUUAAUUAACUAAAUAACUAAAUUAAUUAUUAAAAAUAUUAAUUCUAGUUAAUUAAUUUACUCAACACAAUCCUAAUUCUAUUAAAAUCAUGAUGACUUUACCAUAUUAAAAUUUAUGUACAAAUUUAUUUAAUUAUUCGAAUGAAAUUAAACUACAAUGACUACAUAGUUUAAUUUUCACUUUAGAUUUAAUUAUUUAAUUUAUUCAUCCAAUUAAAUAAUAACCCAAAAGAAUUAAAUUAAUCUUAAGUAAUCUCUUGCUUUAUCGAAAAACUAAUUUUACUACAAUUUAUUUAUCAAUAAUGUUUUGUCCAGACAUUUGACGUUUUUUUUUGUAUCCAAUCUGCUCAAAGAUAUAAUGAACUAGUAAGGGAUGGACCGCACUUAUACAUAAUUAGGGUUAAAUGACGUUUUCCAUGACUGAACUCCCCAUAUGCCCUUGUCGUAUAUUUGACUAUUUUGAGUGGAUUUAAGGAAAAAAGAAAGGUUUGCAUUGACAAGACAUCCCCUAAAAUUUCAUGAAUGAAUGUGGAUACAGCCUAAAAUUCUUCUUUUUUUUUUGUCAUUUAAACUUGUUUUUGGCUCAUAAUUCUAUUGGCUUCAUGGGUGUCGACGACUUGAGUCAACCUGUAUAAUAAAUUAUUUCACAAUAACAUUUUCUAAAUUUCACGCAUAAAAUUAAACCUAAAAAAUAUUAAAACUAUAUAUCUUUAGAGUAUAAUAAAAAAAUUAAUUAGAAAAUAGUGAUGAGAGAAAAUAUAUUCAAACUUUAGUAAAUGUGUAGUUACAAAUAUAGAAUAAAAUAAUUUUUGUAAAAAAAAACAAUUUUUAAUAAUUUAAUUCACAAAUAGUAUCCAGGCAUAUUAGUCUUCUCUGAUCGUGAGUCAAUUUGUCUUCUUCCAGUUUUUUGGCAUUUCCUUGAUCUCUCUCACUCCAUAUAUAUGUAUAUAUAAUGAUACACCAAUGUCAUACGUAUCAGAUAUGUUUUAUGAUCUGAUUGGUAUUAUUGAAUGAUACAUUUGUCUUUUUGGUUAAGAAAAACAACAACAAAAAGAAACAGGCUUCAAAAGAUAGGAAGAUGGUUCUAACAGGCUUCAGAUUUUCUCCCACAGACGAAGAGGUCAUCGAAAUCUUGAGCCAGAAAGUGUCUGGAAACACUUCCAUGGCGGCUUUCGAUUUCAUCAUCCAAAAAAAUAUCUAUGAUUUUGAGCCGCAAGAGCUUCAUGGUCCGACAUCUUUCCCUCCUUUUUCUGGUUUUUCCUAUGUUAUAUCUUCAUCAGUUUUGCAUGUCCGAAACUAGGGUUUUCGACAUUAAUACUUAGUACUCAAAAGCUAUGAGUUUAGGUGUCGUGUGAUAAGAUCAUGCAUGUUUCAUGGAACAUGCACUCAUCAGAUCAGACCAAUAAAUACAUUCAUAUGCAUUACAUAAGGAAAACGUGUUGAAUAUAUAUUAUAUAAAUUUAUGUGGUUAAUUUUGUUGCAGGGAGUGAAAGUACUAUAGGAUUAAACAAGAACGAGAGAUAUUACUAUUGCAGAAGGGAGAGUGAUUCAAGAGAAGUGAUGGGAAGAGGAUGGUGGAAGGCUACAAGUCAUGUAAAGGCUGUUUCUUCACCAAAUGGAGAAGUGAUGGGUUAUAAAAGACCUUUAACUUUUCAUAGGUUUAAAGAUAAUAUCCAAGGAAACCGAAAGGGAGCCAUCAAAACAGAUUGGAUAAUGCAUGAAUACGGCCUUCAAUCAAUUCAUACGGUUCCUUUCUUCUUCUUCUUCUUCCUUAUAUAUCUGCCUUCUAAUUCGUUGCUUUCUCCUUUUUUCCCUUUCUGGAUUAUAAUACUAUACGUGAACUAAUUGGAUUAAGUUUCCUUUCUGGGAAUCCAUGAGCAAAUGACCUAGGGAUAAGAAAAGGGUUUGUAGAUGCUAUAAUUGGUAACCCCAAUUUAUUAAUAAGAGAAACACAUUGCAAAAUGUUAACCUCUUUCUUAAAUAAAGAGAUUACAAAAACUCUUAGAAUAACCGGAGAAACUAAAGCGCUCCCGACCUUAAAUAAUCAACUCCUACACAAACAAACAAAUACAUAAUCAUCACCCCUCAAAACAGCAAAUACAUAAUCAUAAGAGCGAAACACAAUAGAAAAACACUUGUUACCAAUCAAAAAUUAUUUCACCGCCAAGCUUUAAGUAACGCAAGUCUAACUCACCUCUGCUUUGGCAAGAGCAUCAACCAUUUCAUUACCUUGCCUGAGAACAAAUGCAAAGUGAACUCGUACCAAUUGAUUAAUACUACAACCGAAACCAAUGAAGAGAUUCCACAAAGACCACGACCUAGAAUUCCUUUCCAGCAUCCACUCCAAAGCAACCCAUGAAGCAGAUUCAAUAAUAAAAGGGACUUUCAAAUUCCAUCCCAUGCCAAAAAAAACACCUUCAAGCCAGUUUUAAUAGCCAUAACUUCUGUCAUUUUCGGUUCUUAUUAAUCUUCUAUAUCCAACAAUGGGAGAUUUAAACUUAUUUUUUAAGCAACAAAUAUUAUUUAGUCAAAUACAUAUCUAGUAACCUUUUUUUCAAUAUAGGAAAUAGAUACUAAAAUUGAACAUGAAAUUAUUACUUAUAGUUGAGUUAAAUAUUAGGACGCCAUAUGAUGUUCCUCCAUUAAUUUUAUGUGAAAUUUAUGUUGUUAAUGAGGAUUUUAAGGACAUUUUUUAAUGUUAACGAUACAUUAAAUGUAGUAAUAAUGGUAUUAAAUAUUUCUAAUGCAUUAGCUAUAUAUACAUAAACCUUAAGUAAUACUAUUCACAGUAUAUAAAACCUUGCAUGGAUCAUAAUGAUAUAAAUUUAGUGUAUCCUUCAAUUUUAUUUGUUUGUGGUUUGGGAGUUUUUAUUCCUUAUUUAAUUUUUUUAAUAGUGGUCCGAGAAUAAGUGUCCAUCAAAUACAUCUGAAACCACUAAUAAAAAUGGUAAUUAAGAAAGAAAAUAAUUCUUAAAAGGAGUUGAAAGGAAAACUAAAACUCUUCUGAAAAACUCUUUCAAGUUACUAGAGCGAGUCAGGAUAGGAGAAUGAGGUCAUCCUUCUGUAAAUAAAUAAAAUCUUCAAUUCAAAGAACAUGAGCCAGAUGCGUAAAAGCUCAUAGUGACUCUAUAAAACAGAAGUCCAAUGCUGCGAGAUCGAUGACCCCUAAAAUUUAUUUAAUCCUUUAAUUGUUUAGACACUUGAAAAUUAUUUAAAACUUAUAUAUUUUACUCAUUAAAUAGUAGACCAAAUAUCCUACUUGAUACUAAUGGGACCCGAAAAUAUUCUGCCUUGCCUUUAAUAGCUGGUGGAAAGCUUAAUAGGGUAAUUAAGAUUCGGUUGUCUAUGGUAAAACCUUUUAAUAGGUUAAAAAGAGAUUCGGUUUUUGAAAAUGGUAUCAUUUGUGUGUUAUUAAAUUCUAGUUUUACUUUGUUUAUUCAUUUAAAUACAUCUUCCUACAUACUUUAUUUAUAGAUUUAUAUUUGAUGCACCAUAAUGAAGUUAGAACAUAAGGGUCAAAAUUAAAUUGCAAAUUUUGAAGGGCUAAAAUGUAAGUUCAUCAUUAUAUUAUUUUAUUUUAGACAGAUACUUUUUUUGGGUAAACUACAAUAGUAGUCGUCUAACUAUUAGUAUUUUUUUAAAUGAUCACUCGACUGUUCAAUUUUGCCUUUUCUAGUCACCAAUUGACUAAAAUGUGGCAAUUUUUAAAAUUGGUAUAAUAGCUACUUUAACCCUCAACAUUUACACAUUAUGUAAUUUGGUCUCUCUUUUUUUUUUUGCAAUCUUACUUUUCUUUGUGACGUUGAGGGUUAAUUUUAAAAGAAUGAGAAAAAAAUGAAAAUUAUUUUCUUGGAUUUUUUUGGUGUUUUCAUUUUUUAUAUAUUUUCAAUCAAAUUUAUUUAUUUAUUUAGCUGAAAAGGUCAUAAAGAAAAUCAAAAGUGUAAAAAAAAAAAUUAAAUUACACAAUGUGUAAAUGUUGAGGGUUAGAUUUUUUAGAACAAAACUAAAUUGACAUAAUGUGUAAAUGUUGAGUGUUAGAUUUUUUAGAACAAAACUAAAUUGACAUAAUGUGUAAAUGUUGAGGGUUAAAGUUCCUAUUAUACAAAUUUUAAAAGCUGCCACCUUUAGCCAGCUCAUGCCCAAAAAAAACAAAUUUGAUUAAUUAGGUGAUCAUUCCGCUAAUUUUUCUUUUUCACGAGUAUCUACGGGUUCUUGAUCUAAAAUAUAAAAUUACUCAUACAUUAACAUAUAUUUCAGUUCCAAUUCAUUUCAUAAUUAAUACCCUUCAAUUUUUCAAAUUUACACAAUUACCCCAAAAUUUUACAACUUUUUGCAAUUUAAUCCCUUAACUAGUUAAUCUAUCAAAUGAACUAGUUUUUCUCAAUUAAUAAUUUAUUUAAAUAUUAUAAGAUAUCAUACAGCCCUUGAUAAAACAUAAAUUUAAUACCUAACCCUAAUACUUUAACUUUUCAUAAUUUAGUCCUAAAAUCAACAUUUAACAAAUCACUUUAUACAAUCAUCAUAUAACAUAAUUAAAGCUCUAAAUCCAUAUUUAUUCAUCUAAAACAUCCUAUAUUCAUCAAUGGUAACUUCCAAAAUUUUCAAUUAAAUCAAAAACUAAAGCAAGACUUAGUUGGACCUAAUUGUAAAAGUCUCAAAAAUAUAAAAAUUACAAGAAAAGGGUAAGAAUUAAACUCACUUGAAGUAAAAAUAUAAAAAUCAGCUUAAGGAUCUCUCCUAUGGAUGUUUUUGGCUGAGAAUUGAAGAAGAAUUUGUCUAGAAACCUUUAAAAUUUCAAUUUGUAGUUUUAAUUUUGCUUUAUUUUAUUAAUAUUUUCACUACUUAUGCCGCCUCAGUCAUUUCAAUUUGGCUUAUUUACUCUUUAAGUCCUCCCUAUUUACCAUUUAAUCCAUUUAACCACUAUUUCUUUUAAUUAGUAAGUUUUGUAUCUUUUUCAAUUUAGUCCUUUUUAAUUAAUUAACUAUCAAAACGUUAAAAUUUUUUAACGAAACUUUCAUACUACCUUAAUAACACUCCAUAAAUAUUUAUAAAAAUAUUUAUGGCUCGGUUUAUAGAAUCGAGGUCUCGAUGCCUCAUUUUCUAAACUACUUGACCUAAUAAAUCAUUAUAAAACACAAAUUACUAAUUCAAAAAUAUUUUUAAAACUACAUUUGACUCGUAAAUAUUAAAUAUUAAAAUUUACGAGUUUACUCGUUAUAUUUGAUUGUCUUGAACUACUGUUUCCGACACCACUAAAAAUUAGACUAUUACAUGCCUUACCUGGCUACGCAAUUGUACAUCAAACAUUAAACCUUCAAAGGUGAAAAACUCGCUUUUUUCUUAUUGAAAUUUCAUGUAGGAAUGGAGACUGUGUAAGAUUAAGUACAAAGGGAAAGAAAAGGUUGAAGAGGACAUGACACCAAUGGAGAAAACAUUCGGACAUAGUAAUAAUAAGACUCUAUUAACGAGUUUCGAAGCUAAAGAUGGCAGCAGCAGCAGCAGCAAUUCCAUAGCUCCCAUGCAGUUGGAGCUUGCUUUCGAACAGCCGCCAUUGACGCAGCCCAUAUUACCUGUAAACAACGACAUUAAUUAUAAUUAUGACAGUUAUUGUUGGUCCAACUCCAACAUGAUGCUUUAUGAAGAUCAUCAGUUGGCUGAUCAAUUAGACACCCUAUCAGAGCAGCCAUUUUCAGACCUUUGGUCAUGGGAUGAUUACCAUUAGUUGCCCCUUUCUACUAGUAAUAAUAAGCACCCAUGUUAUAUAUAUAGAUAUAUAUAUCCACUUAAACCGUGCAAAAAUUAAAUAUAGUAUGGACGUAUAUAAUUAGUGGUCAAACUGAUCAUCACUCUUGCAUGUUCGAUGAUAUUAUAUUGUUUAUGAAUUAGUUGAAGUUUAUUUGUGAAUCCAACACUCAUUAAGGGUGGGUUUGGAUGGGCGAUUGGUGCUGUGCGGUGCGUUUAGUUUAGUUUACUUUUUGUUUCACGCUAUAGUAUCGUUACAGUAUCUAAUCUCACCGUCACCGCUGUUUUUACACUAACCGCAGGUAAACGCACCGCCCAUCCAAACUUACCUAAAUAAUUUGCAUUAUUUUUCUAUUCGUCUAAUACAUUAAUGACAAUUUUUUUUUCUAUUGUGUUAUUUAUUUAUUUUUUUAUCUAACGUGGUGUUUGUGUUUUGUUAUAAUGCGAUACUUAUAUUAAGCAAAAGUUAUACAUUAUCGUACUUAAAAGUAAUCUGGAUUUUAGAGUUGAUUAAAUAAAAGCUCAUAAUUAGUUAAUAAUAUUAGGAAUUAAAUUUAAUCAAACCAACCCUAAAGCUCAAAAAAAUCAUAGCCAUCAAAUUAUAGUUAGUAAAUUAAAUACAAAAUUAAACAAAUUCAAAUCUAAUAAUAUUAGCAAUUAAAUUUUAUCAAAUCAACUCCAAAAACUCAAAUUAAAUACUAAAAAAGUAAUGCUGUUGACUUUGGGUACCAAAAUAUAUAACUUUUGUCAAAUACAGAUACCACGUUAGACAAAAAAACUUAGAUAUCAAAGUAAAAAAUAGAUAUCCAAUGAUUAAAAAAAAUUAUGUACCAAAUAAAGCCACGUUAUUAAAAGUUAAAUUAACUCAUUUUAUUUAUCCAAUGAUUUUGUCACAAAAUUAUUAUUUCCUUAUCAAGUUAGGGAUAAAUAUUAACUUUUUUUUUUAUGUAUGUUAAAAAGAAUGGAAAAUCUAUCGGAUGUUGGACGCAAUGCUAAUGUACGUUAUACUUUCAAAAAGAAUACAUAAUUUAAAUUGUAAAGAUGAUAUUAUUAAAAGAGACAAACAUAAAUGUUGAAUUUAAACUGUAAAACGAGUAUAAUUUUUUUUUUUUUGGAUUUGAUAAGCAUAAGGCUAAGACUUAAUGUUUUAUUUUAUUUAUUUAUUUUCAAGUGCUUUUUUGGGUAGAAUAUUGUGUGGCAUUUUUUUUCUAGAAAUUGAAAAUAAAAAAAUAAAAAAAUGAUAAAAGGGGGUAAAUGAAUUGCAAUAAUUGGAUUGAUACCAAAGAAAUAUUUAGGGAGAUGCUCUUUAAAUAUAAUUUUCUUUAACAAAAAAUAAAUAUACUUAUAUCAAAUAUAUAUUCGUAUCAAGAUUUUAUACUCAGUUGCAUAGAAAGACGCAUUUUAACUCAUUCUUACAUAUAUCGAGAUUGUAGUCUUAGAUUUGAAGUAAUUAGAUUAAGCUUUGAGUUUUUGGUAACAUUCUUUUCUAGUUAUAAAGGAGUGUAGGAAUAAAGGAUCGUAGAUAUUAAUGUUUGAAUUCGUAUUUAUUUAAAAUAUCAUCUUUCAACUAUGAUAAUAUAAUUGAAUCAAUCGAAAUAAUGAUGUAAUUAAUAAGAAUAUUUUUAUUUAACUUAUGAGUUUGUAGAAGUUGAAAUCUAUUUCCAAGUUGAUGUAGAUCAUUUUUUUUUUUUGUAAAUUUACUUUUAUAGUUGGGAUAGGAUUAGAAAUCAACCUAAGCCUUAAUCUACACAAUAUUUGAUCAAGAAAUUAUCAUUAUUGAUUGAUUGAAUUUGUUCCCAUUUGAAUACUCCUUUUUUAAGACAAAUCAGUAAAUGGUUAUAUUAUAUGGAUGAAUGGUUAGUCAUCAUUAAAAGAGUUAGUAAUAAUUAAUGAAGUGAGGUAGAAAUAAUGUCUCCACAAUUUCAAAAACCGAAUCAAAAUCAAGUCGACCUUCAAUUUUGAUGAAGUGAAAGAAGCCAAUGAGAAAGAGAAGAGGGAGGACUAUAGUGGGGAACAUCAUUAAAUAAAUCAAGACAACAUUAACAAAUGGGACACUUAUAACAUGCAUCCCCCCACUCUUUGCUUUUUGCUUUUUAUUUUUAUUCCUAUUUUAAUUUUAAUUUCAUCAACUUGCUCCUUCAUUUACCCCCUUGAAUUUGGAUUAAAUAUUUAUUUUAUCUUUGUUCAAAUAAAUUAAGAAUUUCUUAGGUUAAAUUUUAUUUAUUUUGGUUAAAAUAGAGGCGAAGCCAGAACAAAUUUUUUUUUUAGGAGGCUGGAUGAAAUUUUAAUUUUUUAUAGUUUAUAUCUUUAUAUUUUUAAAAGAUUAAAUUAAAGCCAUUUUACAUUUUAAAAGAACUGAGGUCCUAUCAACCCCUAAAUUCGCCUCUAGUUAAAAUACUCUUAAAGUCUCAAUACUCUUUUGAAAAUUUAAAAUUUAAUUUUUAUUUUUUAUUUAAAAAUACAAGUUCAAUUAUUUUUUAUUUAAAAAUACAAGUUCAAUUAUUAACAUAGUUAAAAUACUCUUUAAAGUCUCAAUACCAAUUGAGUUUUUUUUUGGUUUUUUUCAAAGCAUCACGCCAACAAUUGUAAUAGAAGAGCUUUAAUUGUGAUAAUUAAAAAGUAAAGAAACAUGAUUCUUAAAAGUGAAAGGAACUAAAUUCCUUAACAUACUUCUUUUUUUUUAAUCUUCAAAUACUUAUUCAAUAGAAUAUGAAUAUAUAUAUAUAUAUAUAUAUAGAGAGAGAGAGAGAGAGAGAGAGAGAGAGAGAUUGGCUUGACUCAAUAAUAUGAAUUGGAAAAAAGAAAAUCCCGAAAUCCCGACUUUACAACUACCCUACUGAAAGGUUUCUUUGUUGUUUUUUUUUUAUGAUAAGAGGCAUUAAAGAGAAGAGAAAUUAGCGUCAUCCUCUGCAAAUUUCAACAAAAACUCCAAAACUGACGGUUUGGGGUCAUCAUCAUCUCCAACCCUACUUUCAAAAAUGCCUUUCAUUAUCCGACUGUAAAGCCUUUCCAGCUCCGGGAUCCCGUAGUUUCCUGUUCGCUCCACUAACACUUUCUUCACCAAUUCGGCUUGAGUUGAAAUCUCACCAUCCGACAUUAUCGUGUCCUGGGAUCCAUUAGCUUCUGUAGAAGUUUCUUGCUGCUUGCCAUCACCCAAAGUAGGUUCAUCCCUCUCACAGUUUAUCUCCUUUACCUCUAGGGUCUGAGAUGGCUUCAUUUGUACUGAAUCCGAGGCCUGGGAUUUAUCUUCUGCUGUGGCACGGAGUAACAGAUAACUCGAUAAGCGAUAAUGAUUGAAAAUACUUUUAACUAACAGUUGACAACAUGUUACAGAAGAUGCAAAAACUCUAGGAUGAUCAAUGAAAACUAGGAAGCGAUGGUAACCCAAUCCCUUUUUGGGCAAGCAUACUGUGGUUCAGUAGACAGGAUUCAUGGCAUUAUUGAUUCCCAUCUCAUGAUAGGAAUACGUAUUAAGACUGAUAAAAGCUACAGUUUCAAAGUCAAAGACACUGAAUCAUUUUCAGACCAUCUGCUGCUGCAUGAGUUUGAAGUAGGCCCAUCUGCAAGUAUGAUUGGUACCCUUUUAUGUCCCUAUUGUGUCCCUAAUUCAUUCUCUACCCCACGGUUUGGUAUGUGCACUUUGAUGAGUGAUGAAUCACAUACUCAUCACUUCAUACAAUUAGGACCGGCAGGAAAAUUGAAACGAUGAAUUGAAUUAUAUGCCUAUCCUCAUAUUGGAUGACAAUUUUAAGACAGAAAGCACUCUCAGAAUAUAAACCUACGUAUAUGCCUAUCCUCCUAUUGGGUGCUAAUUGAGAAAACUAAAUCCAAUCCUUAGUAACGGAAUAUGUUACAAACUAAAGCCUAAAACCUGUCUCAUCAUAUACAGUUAUACACCAAACAAGGGUCAGCUAAUCUAUGCAUAUAGAUAUGAAAAUACCCGCAAGGGCAGUAUCGGCAUUCUUCUUUGGCCUUUUCAAGGCCUCGUAGCUCUGAAGAUCAGCCUCUGGCUGGACAUUACGGAGUCGAGCACUUGCCCGAGUUGAAGUUCCUAGCUGCACAACAGGUACCGCAGGAGGCAGCCCUAGAUCAUCAGGCAUAUGAGCUGGACCCCCUUGAGCAGCAAUUUUGUCACAAUAAGCAACCAAUGCAGGGUCCAUCUGUGACAGCAUCCCAU
rnacentral:lncRNA from 1 species